UUUUUUUUUUUUUUUUUUUUUUGUCAAACGAUAUAUUUUGUUAGAUUAGAUGUUAGAUUAGUCACCAACGGGGUUUGAACCCAAGUCGUCAUGUAAGAGUUCAACACUUUUCUACCACUGUGAUAAAUGGUCACUUGCAUUGUUAUUUAAGAAUCCAUUAAAUUUACAUACUUUAUAUAUUUGCAACAAUUCCAUUUAUUCGCAUACUUUUCCAUAGUAGGGUAAGUCGUGAGUCGUGACUGGUGGUCGCGCAACAAUUGAAGUUAAAGCGUGGGAGUACUGAAGCUCUUUCAGUAUCAAAAUCAGCAACAGUGUUCAUCCCCUAAGUGAACGCGACGUGGUAUCAUCUCCAUUCAUCACCGAUUAGUUGAUUAGGUAGAGGUACAGCACCGAUGCAUGCAUGGAUCUUGAACUCCGGACAAGCUUUACUAAGGAAAAGCUUUCAUCAGCAAAUUAGUGACGGAUCCCAGACACACACCCGCCCCCCCCCCAAAAACCAAAAAAAACUUAUGUAAGCUAGCUACCUAGUUGAUUGACCAUAACGUAUGAGUUGGCUAUAUAUAUAUUUGACAACGAAUCAAAGAAGGGAAAAAAGAGAGAUACUAAGAUCCUGACCUUAGUUAAGUCUAAGAUCCUGCACCUUAGUUAUACUUAUAUAUGUGGAGUAAAAAAUAAUCAAGAAGAAUAUGGAGGUGACACGUGGAUUCUAGGGUUAGAAUGACAAAAUUACCCUCGAGGAACACCAAAACUCCUACGCGCAAGCAAUGGACAACCAUCCCUCAAUCAAGUCAAAAGUGUCCAAAAUAUGUAUUUAUUCAAAACCUAUUUCAUCCAUCCUCAUCAAAUAUUCUUCACAAGGUAACCCCCAAAUCUUUCCUUUCAAAUUAUAUUAAUUAGCUAAUUAAUUUAUUUAUUAUUCAAUUAAUUUAUUAAUUAGCUACAAAUCAUGAAUCUCACCCAAAAAAUCAUCCAAGUGGCCGGUCCCCAUCCUCCCAAAGGGGCCAGCCACACCCUAUAGAAACAUCCUCACUUUCUCCAAAACCUAAGUUCUACACUCUUGCUAAAUUCUCUAAAUUCUCCAAAUACUUUUUCUUCAAAAUUCUAACUUUGGCAUCGGAGGUUCUUCGGCCAAAGUCCCCCCAUUCAUCGUGGGCUCGUGAGGCUCUUGGCCUUAACCUAAGGUGUUGUUUGUUUUCUAGGUGCAAUUUUGUCCAAGAACAAGGAGGAAGAAAUUUGUAUCCACAGAUUAGUGCUUUCAUUGAGAGGUGAGUCGCACACUCGUAGAAGACUCUCGCAUCCAAAGUUUUUCGUUUUCUUGUUCAUUUGUAGAUUUUUUGUACCUUUUUAUUCUUGGAAUUUUUAUUUCUAAAAAUUCUUUGAUAAAACGUAAAAAAAAAAAAAAACAAUACAAUGGCAAGGGAUUUGGAAAUCUCGACGAACAGAAAUUCCAACGUUCAAGAAAUAGGACCACGACGAUCCACAAGACUUAACACGACGAUGAGUGGAGCGGCACCACCCCCACGGGGCACCACUAUGGCAACCACCACGGCAACCACCCUUGGCAAGAUCCAUGACACUAUAACCACAGCCCAAGGCAUGCUAUUCAAGCCCACACGGGCCCAAGCCCAAGGUGAACCGGCCCGAGCCACACAAGCCCAACGCGAGACUAACACACUGCCGAGCCCAGCCCUAGCCUCACACCCACGUGCACCGCAUGCCAAGUAGCCCACUCUUGUGGCCCAACCCACUCAUGUGGCCUUCCAAGCAGCCCAAAUCUAUCAAAGAUUGGUCCAACCGUCCCGGCUUUAGAUUUCUGGGCCGACGAUUGAACCGGGGGCAUUCUCACCACAUUUCUCCGUGAAUUUGACAUUUUCCAACUCAAAUAUCGCGCUCGGAGUCUACCACACUUCCACUGCUCAAAGAGAUGCAUUUCUUCCAAGCUCUUAUAACCCAAAUGGAGAUAGCGCACCGAGAUGCAACGUCCCCAGACGAGGUGUCCCAAAAUAGGACAAGGGCAGAUGAAGAACCUCUGCAAAAGCAUCCCAACAAGCAGCCACUCAACCAACCACGAAAAAAGCGUUCGGGCAGUGCAUACUCCAAACUGGGCCCCGAGAUAGCGUAUACUCCCAUCUUAGCACACGAAGAAGCGUGCACUCUCGACUAGGCCCACGAGCAAGCAUACAUUAACAAUUGAGGCCACACUACGAUAAUCAACAUGAGCAACCUUCCAGGCAAAGUGUUCAUUUACGGCUAGGCCCGCAAGGAGCAUCCUCCACCUCACGUUGGAGUAUGCAGCAUAAAGGACGGAGAGAAAUAAUCACUUAGUUCGACUCAAAUUCAACCAAUAACUUGCGAAGAAUUCCCUUGCCUGCUAAGAACGAACCACAUGCACCACCGUCGCAGUACAAACAAGUCGAACACAUGGAAGAGCAGUCGAGACCAGCAAGUCAUGACUAGGAACAGUUAGGAGCUUCGCUGCCCCAACAAAAACAAAUUCAGGAAGAGGUAGAGAUGCUCUUAAACGAGUGAUUGAACAAUUUCCAAUGCAACAAGGUAAUUGACGACGCACUACGACAGAACAUGACCAACAUAAGCAAGUAACCCCUCACGGACGAGAUCGCAGGUAAACCCUCCACGCAAAUUCAGCAUGCCACAAUUCACAUCUUUCAAAGAGAUGGAAACCCGAAGAGACACCUAAAACACUACCGAAGCGUAAUGAUCCUUUAUCGGAACAACGACGCUCUCAUGUACAAGAUAUUCGUCACCACUCUACAAGGCAAUGCAUAAGAUUGGUUCCACAUCCUGCUGCCACAAUCCAUCCAGAGUUUCGACGAACUUUUUUUGGUUUUCCUAAAGAAUAUUCAUCCUAUCGCUCAAUCAAGAAGAAGUCCGACCACUUGUUCAACGUCAAGAAGAACCCAAAGAAAUCACUUCAUGACUAUAUGAAGAAGUUCAAAGUAAAGAAGGCAAAGAUAGUCGGAUGCAACGACUCGAUAGCUAGUGUAGCCUUCCAAAAAAGACUUUUAGCAGACCACCCACUGUUCAGAGAAUUAAUCAUGAAAUAAGAUCUAAUUCUAGCAAACUCUUUCAUUCUAGCAGAGAAGCAUGCACUUUGGGACGAGGCUCGCUGAUGCAUAUUCAAGGAAAAUCUGAGCGAUCUUGAAUAUGAAGUCCCCUACUACUCCGAAUGAGAUUCAAGGUCUAAUUGCACGAGCAGCCGCAUCUUAAGUAGUAAUAAGCUCUACCCUCAGACGAGAACAGUUGGGGGCCCAACUACCUGUAUUUUACAGUUCAAAAACUCUUAUCGAUAAGGAAACCAACUACCAAAAUUCAAAAGCUAACUUUGGUGACAGUUAUUGCAACCCGGAAGCUCAAGUUAUAACUUCAGAUGCACACAGUCAUCCUCAUGACGCAACAUUCCAGACACACGAUGAUAAAGGCGUAGACAUUGGUGGUGCAAAGUUUUUUGAUAAAUGCAACAACUCAGCCCAAAAGGCAUGCCAAGUGCAGACGAACACUAGAAGGACACUCGAAAUCAAGUUUUGUCCUCGUCGCCCCAAAAGAUUCUACAUAGAAGCAACAUGUACCAGCAGUUGAGCACCACUUCCUGUUGCACGUCACAUUGCCCCAGCAGACCCUUGCUCCAUAAUUCAGCUCUAGAGUGGCCCGAUACCGACAUUUGAACAUCUCCUACUACGUGUAACAUGGCCCCAACUCCACGGCUCCCUACUGCGCCUUCACGCCUAGCCUAGGCAACGUAACAGAGCGACCUAACGACGUUUUGGAGGCAGCCGAGCACACCACCCUAGCCAUGCCUGCUUCACUUGAUGAAGAUUUCUGACGUUUGCACGUCGACAACACAUCCAACUACAAAGGCUUGGGAGCAGGCGUGGUCUUUGUCACCCCAUACGGUUCAAUGCUCGAGUAGGCGAUCACUCUAGGCUUCAAAGUAUCCAACAACAAAGCAGAGUACGGGGCCUUACUAGCAGGCCUCAGAAUGGCAAAAAACUUGCUUGUGAAAAAGCUCACAAUUUAUUCUGAUUCCCAGUUAAUCACCAGCCAGACUACUGGGGAGUACAUGGCAAAACAUCUGAGGUUGGCGCAAUACCUAGAAAAGGUACUCAAGCAACUUGAGGCAUUUCGGACUUACACUCUCACUCAAGUUCCGCGAGUAGACAACGCCGUUGUGGAUGCGCUAGCCGGCCUAGGCUCCAUCUUCGACCACUAACUUAAACGCUCUAUUCCGGUAGAGUAUCUAGACAAGCCAAGCAUAAAGUCGAAGCCAGCAGCUUAAGGGUCACAAGUCAGUGCAACUCCCAAUUGGCAAAGUUCUAUUAUAGACUACCUCAUCAAUGGCACACUCCCUACGGAAAAGUUAGAGUUUAGAAACCUCCAAAUAAAGGCAACACACUACUAUAUGUGGAACGGCAUUCUCGUUCUAAAAUCCUACACCAGACCACAUCUCCGCUGCCUAGCGCCUCUUAACGACCUAACUAUUAUAAGCUUAAUCCAUGAAGACGUUUAUGGAAAUCACUCCGGAGGUCGAUCCUUAGCGCAGAAGGCCCUUAACACAGGUUAUUACUGGCCUACCAUGCAUUAAGAUGCUAGGGAGUUAGUGCAGAAAUAUGACCGCUCCUAACGCUACAAGCUGGUACCAGCACUGCCUACCAGUGAACUACACCCGCAUAUGAGUCAUUGGCCGUUCAUGUAGAGGGCAAUCGACUUGGUAGGGCCAAUGCAGCUCGUUACUGAGGGCAGAGGCAUGAUGAUCGUGGCAACCGAUUACUUCACCAAAUGGGUAGAAGCAGAGCCCAUGACAACCACGACUCAGACGAACAUAGAGCGUUUCAUAUGGAGGAACAUCAUUUGCCGAUUUGGCAUUUCUAAAUCCAUCGUCACCAAUAACAGCCCAUGAUUCGUGGGUAGAGAUUUGGCAAAGUUCUUCCAAAAGUAUAGCAUCAAACAGCACAUGUCUACGCCAAGAUAUCUUCAAAGCAAUGGGCAGGCUGAAGCAUCCAACAAGACGAUCAUCAACUGCCUCAAGAAAUCCUUCACCGACAAGAAGGGAAAAUGGCCAGACGAACUCCUCGGAUGUCUAUAGGCAUAUCGCACCACCAAUAGAUGAGUAACCGAUGAGACUCAUUUCUCUUUGGCAUUUGGCUCAGAAGCAAUCAUUCCUCCCAAUGUCAUCGUACUAAUUAUCAAUACUUUAUUGCCAAGCAUUAAGCAGAAUAGUAAUGAGAUAGCCACAAACUUAGAUCUAGCAAAGAAGAAACAUGACCAGGCCAUCACUCGCAUUGCCACCUACCAGCAACAGCUCAUCUCCAACUAUAACAAAAAGGCCAAGAUCCUGCAAUUCCAACUCGGAGAUUUGGUCCUAAGAAAAGCCUUUAUCACUGCUCGUAGGGAAGGCUCCAAAAAGAUGGAUCCCUUUUGGGAAGGUCCGUACAAGAUUAGUAGAGUAGGCGACAAGGGUAAUUACACCAUCGCCACUAUGAAUGACAAAGAGAUCGAAAAGCAAUGGAAUACCUACAAUCUGAGGAAGUACCAUGUGUGACCUAUCGCUACAUCAAAGCCCGAAGACUCAAGUAGCUCGACGGGCACCACUUUAUAAAUCGAGGACUAUCCAACUGCUAUGCAGUUCUUACCUUACAGCUAAGUCCUCAUUUGUUUCACUCGUCUUUCAAUGAGGAAUUCAUAAGUAAUCUACAACUUGGCUUAGCUGUAUGCUUAUAGUAAGUGAUCACUCCUGCACUUCAAAAGAAGACUGCACCCUUCUUAAGGAUUCAUCACAGGAAUUGCGCCCCCCGAGGGACUAACCAUACUCUCCAAUGCGAUAGGGUAAACUAAUUCUCCGACACCCAUCUAGGUCUGUUCUCUAAUGCGAGAAGAUAAACUAAUUGCUCUCUAGUACGAGAGGGUAAACCAAUUCCCCAACACCCACAUAGGUUUGCUCUCUAAGGUAGGAGGAUAAACUUACACUUCAAAUAUCCAGACGUGGAUGAGCUAAGCUACCCUGGUAUAACUAGGUGCAUGAUGGCUUGUGUAUGGAUUCCUAAUAGUAGCCACGAUGGUCUUUUUCAAGGCUUAGCUAACUAUAGGAUUUUGGGUUUCUUGGCCUAAUUCACGAGGAACCGAGCCUCAAAGACAGAGAAGGCAUAUUACGCAGUACACCCCAUGGACGGCUGCCCUGGAACCCUAAAGCUGCUACCGAGUGCACUAAGGUAGCCUACGGUUUCCGGAAGCCUACCUACGGAUUGCCCUUCGAGCAGCACGCUAGACUUACAUAAUAGCACAUUCUUGUGAAAGGUUAAACAAGUUAGUGUGCAUAUACGAAGCUUUAUCCACUACCGACAUGCUACGUAGUCGAUAAGCUUCACCUUUGCCAAGCACAGAAUGACUUACACAAGUCCUAAAGUGUUGUGAUACUUGCUACACAACCUACAAAAUUAGAGAAAGCCAAAGUUAACAGCCUAGUAGUCACACGGACUUAUCUACUUCUGUAAGUAAGGCGUCCGGUUGUCGAGCCUAUGGCUAACAACUUUGCAAAGUUCUACACCAACACCUACGGCUACACAAGCUACACGGCCUGUCUACUUAUAAAAAAGUAGCACGCCUGCCACUGGUCUAGAAAGUUUAAAGGUUAGGGCAUGAACAAAAGAAGAGAAGAUGGAGAAAAAUGAAGGAAGCAAGUUUAUAAAAUUUUCUAGCAAAAUUGAUAAACGACUAGUAAAGACCGAAGGAAUUCAAGCAAAGCAAAAACAACAAGGAAAAUAAAGAAAAUCCUAAAGCCUACAUAGAAGACUACUCUUUAGCAGCUUGGACACUACACUACUACUUGGUCGCCACACCUUUAGCAGCCACGACACCCUCAACAGCAGCAUCAUCCAGCGCUUCAUCCUCAGCUAGCCCAACUUGGGCACCAGCUUCUUCAACUACUUCACCAAUGGAAGCCUCAAAAGUAAAGGCAAACAAGCUAUCUGAAGAAAUAGAGAAACAAGCGUCCAUGUCUUCAAGCAAAUCUGGUUUCAAAAGUGUAUAGAUCUCAACAGCCUCCCCAGAAGCAAGCUUAAUGGAUUUCUCACAACCGCCCACGCGAGCAGUCUCCUCCUUCCUAUCAGGCAAAUCAAUCUCAGCAGCAGCAGGAGUGGGCCUUGGCACCACUUUAGCAGCAGAGUCCACCCUAUCGCUUUUAAUAAAAGCAAGCCUCUCCAAAGGUGAACCGAACUUAGCUCACAACAGACGUCUUGGUACAGACUUCGGCACUUGGGGCAUGAUAAGACCUCUACGCUGAGUAAUCCUAUCAGCAAUCGUAAUAGCCAUUCUCAACAUGGCAAGCGCCACAGGCUUAGAUCUAGCAACUUCAUUUUUCUUCCCAUUGGAAGAAGUCAUGUCAAUCACAGGCCUCUCGGUAGCAGGCGAACCCUCACGAGCAGCGAAGGAAUUCCUCAGUUUUUCCUCAACCGCAUCUCUUGAGUAGGCAAGGAAUAUCUCUUAUUUCCACCUUUGUUCAUAGUAGGUUCCACGACAGUAAUCAAACGAGCCAAUGCAUCCCACCAUUUUCCUAGUGAAGAUGACUAAGCAACCAGGCUCUAGCCAAGCCAAGCAGCCCAAGCAGUGGUCCUUACCACAACACAUCCUCGGCCCAUGCCAAGCCGACUCCUAGCCCCUGCCAUUGCACCCCCACAACAACACUAUCUAAGAAGAAGACAAGGAAAAUUAAAUUAUUCUUACUUCGAUGCAACGUGGAGAAGACUAAGAAAGCAACGAAAGAUGGUCUUUUGCACGAGCUAGUGUAGAAGAUUGCUAAGGGAGGGGGAACAAAUAUCUUCUAGCUUUCUCUCUCUUGUAUGGUAGAAUAAAUUGCUCUCUAAAGUUGAUUUAACCAUCUACUUAAGGUAGACUUAAAUAGACUUUAGAAUUGAUUUAUUUCCCUUUCCUAGAAGGAUCUAAUUUCCUAUUAAAGAGGGAAUCUACAUCAAAAUAGGAAACAAUCUUAUGUUUCCUACAGCAAGAAGAUCUCUACACCUGUUGCCCUUUCCGGCGAGCAGCCUAACAGGUGUGGGGGCAUUUGUGGAGCCAAAAAUAAUCAAGAAGAAUAUGGAAGUGACACGUGGAUUCUAGGGUAAGAAGAACAAAAUUACCCUCGAGGAACAUCAGAACUCCUACGCGCAAGCAGUGGACAACCAUCCCUCAAUCAAGCCAAAAGUGCCCAAAAUAAGUAUUUAUUCAAAACAUAUUUCAUCUAUCCUCAUCAAAUAUUAUCCACAAAGAAACCCCCAAAUCUUUCCUUUCAAAUUAUAUUAAUUAGUUAAUUAAUUGAUUUAUUAUUCAAUUAAUUUAUUAACUAGCUACAGAUCAUGAAUCUCACCCACAAAAUCAUCCAAAUAGCCGGUCCGCAUCCUCCCAAAGGGGCCGGCCACACCCCUAUAUAAACACCCUCAUUUUCUCCAAAACCUAAGUUCUACACUCUUGCUAAAUUCUCUAAAUUCUCCAAACAUUUUUCCCUCAAAAUUCUAACUUUGGCAUCGGAGGUUCUUCGGCCAAAGCCCCUCCUCGUUCAUAGUGGGCACGUGAGGCUCUUGGCCUUAACCUAAAGUGUUGUUUGUUUUGUAUGUGCAAUUUUGUCCAAGAUCAAGAAGGAAGAAAUUUGCAUCCACAAUAUACAUACAGAAAAGGGGUCUAAGAUCUUUUGAGCUAAGUUAAUUAAAGAUUAAGCCCUAGCUAACUAACGUCUCGUUUAGUAUCUAUUUCACCUUUAGUAUUUAAAUUUUCAUAUUUUUGUUGGAAUAGAGAGGAAACACAAGGGGGAAAAGUGGAUGAGUAAAGGUUUAGGACUGGUGGUGGAAAAGAAGUGGAAGAAAUGUAAAUGAAAAAGUACACAAUUUAAAAACUAAACAUUGACAUUAUCCUUCGUUUCUCCCCCUUCCAUUUGUCCAACAUUCAUCCAACCCUUUUCAAUACCUCAUUUCUUCAUAUAUACAUUAUCUAUCAUAUCCGAUGUUGAAAAAGGAAGUUUUGCCUAAGUGGUUUAAAUAGGGUGAAACCUUACUCUUUUAGGGUGAAACUUCAAGUUUUUUUAUGGUAUCUAAGUACGGUAUCUUGGGCUUGCCAUCAUCUAAUAUGUUGUUCAUGUAUUAAGCACUUAAAUGACAUCACAUAAGAGGGCAUGUUUAAAGUUGUCUUACAUCGAAAAAAGCCUUGCCUAAAGAGUAUAAAUAAUGUAGGCCUCUCUAUCUUAUUGCAAUUAAUUUUAAAAUAUAAGCAACCCGAUUUAUAGUGGUGUUCCUCAAACGAUAGCUAUGAUGGAGACAUACAACAACAAAUGAAGGUUUCUGUACGUAGUAAAGACUUUGUGGCAUCAAAUAGGGACUUAUCUCGUUGCGAUUCCAUUUGGCCAUUCUCUUGGAAUAAGAAAAAAUCGGCGGCACUUUGGUACUUUUGUGUGUGUCUAACAAUGAACAUAGAAAUGCAACAAAAAUAGACAUAGAAAGAUGCAUAUCUUCAAAUCAAAUCCCAAUUCAAUGUUCAAUAUGACAUGAAAUGCUAAUUAUUUCAGUGUGCUAUGUUUCAUGACCACAUAAAAGUAUUUAAGUAAAAUACUCAUCUAAGAUUAGUAGUGAUUUUGCUUUCAGUGCACUUUCAGCUUCAUAUUGGACAUUUGUAACAUGAAUAUGAGGUGGGAGCUUUGAAAAUCAUUUUCUAAGGGGCCGAUUUGAAUAAAAUAACGUUGAAGAGUACAAAUAUUUUAUGUCGGAAAAUUGAGAAAAUAAAAUACAAAAAUAUAAUUAAUGUUUCAACUUUUAAUGACAUUGAGACCUAUGCAUGAUUAUUAAGUUAAGAACACUACUGUGUUGAUCCUUUUUUGUUUUUAUUUUUGUGAUAAUACGAGUAUUAAUUAAUAGUUCAUUGGACCGAUUCUAAAACUUUGACGAAAUACAAAAAGAUUUUCAUGAUGAAAACGCCUGAUAUGAAAUAGUAAAAGUAAUGUUCUUUGCUUUUCUGGCUUAACAUCUUCAACCACUUUGGAGGUUAUACUUUUACCUUCUAUUUUCAGUUGUACAACUAUAAUGCUGGGUCUCCCAAUUUUGCUCAUUUCUUCAACUUUUCGUAGAUGGACAUCCAAUUCCUAUUCGGCUCUUAGGGAAAAGGAGAAGGGAUUUUCACAUAUAAAGGGGUCCUUGGGCAUUGAAAAUGUCACAAAUAUAUAUAUAUAUAUAUAUAUAUAUAUAUAUAUAUAUAUAUAUAUAUAUAUAUAUAUAUAUAUAUAUAGUGAAGCUUAGAGAGAUUACAUUUUUCUUUUUUAAAAACAAAAAUGGAAACUGAAAAUAUCUGAUUGGAGAUAUUGGGCCAUACUAUAUAAUCCAGCAUUGCAGAUGUGGUCAUUGAACUCAAUGCUCACGAGCAUCUCUCUAUCUGUUCUAUUCAUUUUGUUGGUGCGCCAAAUUAACUCUAACCCUUUUGUAUUUUUGCUCACAAAUUAGCCCCAACCCCUCCUCCUCCUCCUCUGGCCGGUCCAUAAAAAAUAUCAAAAAACCAAAGACCAACUCACAAUAUAUAUCCAUCAUCAGGGUUUAUCUUAAUUUCUCUGGAGAAAAAGGAGGGUUGAUUGUAAUAUUUUAGAUUAUUUAAUCAUGAAUUUGUCUAUGAAUCUAAUUACCAAUCAUGGAAGUGAUAAAAUUUAUCGAGAGAGAGAGAGAGAGAAAUCCCAGCUUUUUUAAAAAAAAAAAAAACCGAUUAAUAUAUAGCCAGUGCCGAGCCACAAAGGACGGAAAGCAAACAGAGGCUAACAAGCACAGAAGAGCUAACAGAAAGUGAAACAGGGGGUACAAACAGACGCAACCAAAGCCAAGGCGUAAAACCCAAUCCCACUACGCACAAACUAAGAGGGCAGGGAAGACCGUCUUUGUUCAGAAUUCCAAGGAGUGAAGAUGGGGUCUUUCAACCAGCAUUUUCUAUGAAAUCCAUAAAAAUUACACCAGCAUAACCAGGAAAUUAGCAGAAACACAAUAACAACUGCUUGUCUGUACUAAUUCAUUAAAAAAUAAAACACCAUAGCUCAUAAGUAUAUAUGCUAGGGUGCGCUUGGAUGAACAUGGUUGCUGAUGGUAUUCUUGGAAUUCGAGUCUGAACCAGAGCAAAACCAUUUGACAAUUUGAUCCAGCAUCAUUCUUUUCACUAACCUCUUCUUCACAGCAAAAACACUUCCAGCUUUGGGCUUGAAAAUCCAUGGCUCAGCCUUGUUGUGGAGUUCCAGCAUUUGUUCUUGAUAUGGGUUCUUCAACUUCAGCUUCUUCAUCUGCUCCUCUUCUACUGCAUCUGAAGCUUUCUUCAUUUCCAUCUGUGACUUUCUCUUUUUUUUUUUAAUGUGUGCUUCGAUUUGCUAUAUAUGAAGUUUUGAACCUCUAUGAGAUGAGUUUAUAUAGAUGAGAAAACACAGAAGCAGACAAGAAGUGGCACGGCAGUUGGUGACAGAAGCGUUUUUUAACCCGACCUUGUGAGUCUGUGACCAUGACGCAAUGACUAAAUACUACUGAUAGUGACCUGGAUCACUUUAAUUGUCCGACUUCUUUGUUUGUCAGAAUUAACUGAACUCUCAUGAAGUGACAAUAUUUGGUUAUGAUGAAUCUGUGGAAAACAAUGGAACAUUAAAUGCGCAUGAUUAAAUGGAAAAUUGGAUUGGAUGCUCUUAAGAAAAAUAAGGAUUUUCACAAGGAUUUUCACACUUCAAGUUUUCUCUGUUAAUUUGGACAUUUUCUAAUAAUUUUAUUCUUCGAUUCUCGUUUUAUUUAAUUGAUUUAAAAAGAGUGCAAAUGAAUAAAACGAAAGUGUGAAAAUUAUCAUAAAAUAGCUAGUAAUAGUUUGUUUGAUACCUAUUACCUAAGAGUUAAUUGGAUUAGAUAACUCAUAAAGUUCUAGGUAAGUAAAUAUGAAGGAUUAUUCAUUUUAAAGAAAUUAGACAAGAUAAAAGCGUAACCCUUCUAAUCUUAUCAUUUUAUAACGAUUGGAAUGAAUGAGGAAUCCAUAUUCUACUAGUCAAAACAUCGCCCAACAUCAAAUGGUACCAUUAACAUCAAACCCAAUAUAGUCAUUGAAAUAAGAAAAGUGUGAAUAGCUUCACAAGCACAAUAUGUCAACAUUUGGAAAAUGGGGAUACCUAAUAAUAAGCAUAACCUUUAGUAAAGGUUCUACGUCAUCAGACUCAUGAUCACCACACCUGUGGGACAUACACAAAAAACGAAUCUAAGUAACUCGUUCAACGCUAGCUAGCAUGAUAAGUCACUAAUUCACCAAUCUUAUUUGCUUUGCUUGCGACGAAAGUAAUGCUAAUUAAACCACAUUAAAUGUUGUUCAUCGCAAAAUUUUGUUUAUCAAACGAUAUGUUAGUAUUCUAAUUCAAAUAAAAUUGUAUUCAUUUUUUGUAGAAAAUUAUAGGAUCAAUUUCUAAUGUUGUUAGACUACUAAUUACUGUUCGGUAAUGCCAAGGGAGAAAUAGCACAUCAAAGGAAAGAAGAGAAAAUAUAUUUCACGUUGGAUUGAUAUGUCUAGAGGAAUGAAUCAUCCUUUUAUAGACUUCAUUAUACCAUUUUCAGAGAGUUGUGAGACUUCUUUAAAUGGUCUUAUCAUUUCAUGAUAAGACACAUCACUUAUAGAAGGGUAUAACCCUUAUGAUAAGUCAUGCAUCUUAUCACACCCUUUGGUAAAGUGUAUUUCAGUACACCAAUCUUAUGGUGUACCUUUAUACAUCAAAUACACAUAGUAAAACCAACAUCAUGAUCAUAUUCCUAAAAUUUUUAACAGAUAAACUCCAAUACGUACGUAUACAACGUUUAGAGUAGUUUAAUGAAUAAACUUGACAAAAAUGCAAAUAUACACUUCAUACACAAGCCAAAGCUGACCCCUUCCAAUCACAUAGUUUUAAUCUUCUGGAAACAAACGAUGAAGUGCCUUGCGUAAAUGCUGAUCACAUAUUCGCAUACACACCUUGCUGAAUAUUUUGAGAAUAUAAUAUAAUAUAAUAUAAUAUAUAUAUAUAUAUAUAUAUAUACACACACACAGCCAGAGGAUGGGAAGUUGUCUUUGAAAUUAAACACCGCACCUUUUACUAUUUGACGAAAAGACAUGAUGCAUUUUGAGCAAAUGCAGUCCUUUACGAACAGAUGUGAUCAUUGGUAAUCGGUCGUUUGUAUCAGCAUAUCAUUAAAAAUAAGAAAAAUUAAUGAAAAUGGUUUAAAAACUUUCAGUUUUAACCAUAAAGACAAAAUAAAGGGUAAAGUAUAGUACCAGGAUUGACUUGUUAGUGUAAAAAUAUGGUUUUUCGUUAAAGUAAACAGUACGGUGAGCUUUUCGUUAAAGUUCCCUUAAAAAUAUUGGUGCAAUGUUCAAUUGUAUCUCAUGGUGAAAGGGCACAUCUAAAACCAAAAGAUAUGUCUAAAAGAGAGAGGACUCUCGCCGAAUUCUCUUUGUGAGGAUUUUGAAGAUCCACUAAUCACAUUCGUUCAUCGUACAUUGUGCGGUCAGUUUUCGUCAGGUACUAUUUAUAUUCAAUUUUAAAUAAUAAAAAAUAACAAUGAUUUCUGAGUACGAUGAACGGAUGUAAUUUAAGGAUUCUUGGGAUCCUCACUAUGUCUAAAAGGUGCAAUUCUCUAUAUAUAUAUUUGGUUAUAUUAGUAGAAGAGAAAUCAUUCAGAAAUAUGUUGUCUACACAAUUUCCUUGUUCUCUCUUCUCUUUUCAUCACAUUCAUACAAUUUUUUUCUAGUUAUUUCUAAGAGAAUAUAUUUCAGUUUUGCUAAUAGAAUAUUUCAUACUUUGUUGUAUCAUGUAAGUGAUUUACCAAUAACCAUUUAGCAAACUCAUUUGAGUGGUGAAAAAUAACAUUUUAAGGAAAAGAUUCAAGUCUACCUUAAAGACAUAUAUUCAAUUUAUUCUCUAUAUUUCAACAUUUACUACAACACACCUGUGGUCCCUCAACCUCGUCCUCGCUUAUAAUCUCUCUUUAGAUGACAUGGGCACUCCAAUAUCUAAAUCUUAUGAGUAAAUUCAAUCAUUAUUGACCAAGGACUUGCUAUUAUAUUACAUGCAUAUGCUUCAUAUUGUAGUAUACCCUUUCUACCCUUUCUAUUUUUUGUUGAUGAUUUUAUAAAGGAGUUUUUGAAAGACUUUGUUUCUUUUCCGGUCGUGCCAUUUUAUUCGGAUUGUGAAAUGAAGUAACAUAUUUGUUAACUCACAAUUAAACACUAAAACCAGAGGAUAUAUGAAAAAUAAUUUGGCAAAAAAAAAAAAAAAGAUGACGAAUAAUAUUUAGGAUGUGAAGAUAUAUCUCAUAUUAGAGUUUAUUAAAUUUUACACGUAUUUAUAAGAUUUUAGGCUGCAAAAAUGUACGCUACAAAAGAAUAGGACUUAGAUUGUGUACUUCAUUUUAUAUAUGUAUAACCAACUAACCUAAAAGAUAGUGGUUUUGUUUCUUAGCACUUCCAAUUUUACUUUAUACAUUGCAAUUAUCUGAUUUGUGUUAUAAAUAGGCAAAAGUUAGAGAGGUAACCUUUAUUAGGGAUAGGAGCGAAACGGGUGCAAUUUAUCACAACGUUUAGUUUCGUAACUCUAACACAAAAGGAUAAAGAGAGGAAGAGAGGGAUACUAAUAUUAUUGUUUUCACUUCUUUCUUUUGCUGUGUAUUGUGAUCACACAUGGAGUGCUCUUUAUAUAGAGCCACAUCUGUGAAGGUUUACAAAAAAUGAAAUGAUUGUCUUUCGAAAAACCUCACAUAUCAACAACAACACAACUAUUCUUAAGUUUCCUCACUAUUAGCUAAAGCAUGUAGGCAUACAUUCCCUCAAUUUUUAUAACACUCCCCCUUGGAUGCCCACAUAUCAAUAUCAGUUGCCUCGUUAAAACCUUGCUCGGAUAAAUCCAGUGGGAAAAAAACCAUAGCGAAGGAAAAAUAGUACAACUUUGCUUGUAUUGUUGAUAUAGUGUUAAGUAUGCUUAUGUUGCCUCGUUACAACCUUGAUAGGAAAAUCCCAGUGGGAAAAAUCCUAGUCAAAGGAAAAAGAGUACAACAGACAUGUAUCAUGGAUGCUCCCCCUGAUAUGUAUCUCCCUCUAAUUCUGUAUUUUUCAAAUUUAACUGAUUGGUAAGCCGACGUAAUUUGAUACCAUGCACUAGCUUAUAAAACAUGCACUUUGGUAAAGAUUUGAAGAAUAGGUCUACCAGAUUUUCAGUGGAACGUAUUUGUCUAACUUCAAUAACUUUAACCUUCUGAAGCUCAUGUGCACUUAAAAACUUUGGAGAUAUGUGUUUAGUCUUGUCACCCUUGAUGAAACCUUGCUUCAUUUAGGCAACACAGACUGCAUUAUCUUCAUGAAUGACAAUUGGAGUGUCUGUCUUUGAAGGUAGACCACAUGAAUUCUGGAUGUGAUAGACUAUUGAUCUUAACCAAGAACAUUCACAACUUGCUUCAUGUAAAGCAAGUAUUUCCGAGUGAUUGGAAGAUGUAACAACUAAUAUUUGCUUUGUUGAGCACCAUGAGAUCGAUGUAUCCCCAUUAGUGAACACAUAUCCAGUUUGUGAAUGGGCUUUAUGUGGAUUAGAAAGGAAACCAGCAUCUGCAUAUCCAACAAGGCUCUGGUCAUUUAUGGAUUUCUCGAAGUAGAAGAGACCUACGUUUAUUGUCCCACGAAGGUAUCGUAAAACAUCUUUGACUCCCUUCCAAUGAAGAAUUGUUGAGCAGAGCUAUACCUUGCUAACAAGCUGACUGAAAAAGCUAUAUAUGGUCUAGUACAUUGUGCUAAAUACAAUAACGCACUUAUUGCACUCAAAUAUGGUACUUCUAGACCAAGGACCAUUUCAUCAUCUUCUUUUGGACAUAAUGGAUAUUUCUUAAUGUCCAGAGAACAAACAAACAUUGGCGUGCUGAGUGGAUAAACCUUGUCCAUGCCAAAUCGCUUCAUGAUUUUUUCAAUGUAAGCUGAUUGAUGGACCAAAAUUCCAUUAGCAUAAUACUCGAUCUACAGGCCGAGACAAUAUUUUGUUUUCCAAGGUCUUUCAUUUCAAAUUCAAUUUUCAGAUAUUCAAUAUUUUUAUUUAGCUCUUUAGGGGUUCCAACUAAAUUCAUAUCAUUGACAUAUAUUGCCACUAUAGCAAAUCCAAAAUUUGAUUUCUUAAUGAAUACACAAGGGAAAAUGACAUUGUUGGUAUAUCCUUCUUUGAUCAAAUACUCACUAAGACGAUUAUACCACAUUCGUCCAAAUUGUUUCAGCCCAUAUAAUGAUCGCCUUAAUUUGAUUGAAAGCAUACCUCAUGGUUUGUUAGUCGCUUCAGGUAACUUAAGUCCUUCUGAAACCUUCAUAUAUAUUUCAGUAUCUAAUUCUCCAUAUAGAUACGUGGUGAUGACAUCCAUAAGUCGCAUGUUAAUUUUUUACGAAACCACCAAACUUAUUAAGUAACGGAACGUAAUUGCGUCCAUUACAGGAGAGUAUGUCUCCUCAUAAUCAAUUCUAAGUCUUUGUGAAAAACCUUGUGCAAUGAGUCAUGCUUUAUAUCUUGCAAUCUCAUUUUUCUCAUUGCGCUUUCUUGUGAAUACCCAUUUGUAACCCACGGGGUUUACAUCAGGCAGGGUUUGGACUACCGGUCCAAAAACACUUCGCCUUUCCAAGGAAUUUAAUUCUGCCUAGAUUGCAUCUUUCCAUUUAGGCCAAUCUUGUCUCUGUUUGCAUUCAUCAACAAAGCAGGGCUCAAUAUCAUCACUUAAUAUGAUUUCAGUGGCUACUGCGAAUGCGAACAUGUCGUCGAUGAUUAUUUUAUUUUGAUCCCAUAAUUCAUUAGUACAUGUAUAAUUUAUGGACAUUUCUUUGCUUUCAUGUAGUUCUGUCUCUUCAGGGACAUGUGUCUCAUCAAGGACAUUUUCAUUUUCUGAAAGUACAGAAUCAUGAAUUGUGGAUUUGUUAUUCAUUUUCUUUUCUUGAAUGAUUUCAUUUGGAUUCAGAUGUGCCCUCAUCUUUCUCUUUCAAGGGGUUGAAUAUUUUGAACCUAGGGGUUUACCACGUUUCAAGUGUGCACCAGAUGAAUCAUUCAUUGCCUCUUUAUUUUGUCCAACAAGGACAUCAAUAUGCAUUUGGCAUUUUAUUAGCAAUACUUUGAAAAUGAACAAUCUUUUUUACUUUAUUUUCACAUGGAAUGUUUUGUGGAUCAAAAUGAGAUAAGGUGGGUACAACCCAUGUCAACUCCUGCUGUUCUUCUGGAACAUUUUUUUUCUCCCCCUAACAACGAGAAAACUAACUCAUCAAGGUGACAAUCUGCAAAACGAGUUAUAAAAAUGUCACAUGUCAAAGGUUCCAAAUAUCUAAUGAUGGAUGGUGAAUCAAAACCCACAUAAAUUCCCAAUCUACGCUGAGGUCCCAUUUUAGUGCGUUGUGGUGGUGCAAUAGGCACAUAAACAGCACAACCAAAAACUCGUAAAUGUGAAAUGUUUGACUGAUUCCCAAAUACAAGUUGUAUUGAUGAGUAUUGGUGGUUGGCUAUAGGUCUCACUCAAACCAAUGAUACAGAAACUGGUAAUUUUGUUUUCAUGAGCAGAGUGCAAGCUAUUAAUUGAAGCCGCUUGAUAAAUACUUCUGCUAAACCAUUUUGAGUAUGGACAUGAUGAACGAGAUGUUCAACAUCAAUGCCUAAUUUCUUGCAUUAAUCAGCAAAGGUUUGAGACGUAAAUUCACUAACAUUAUCAAGUCGGAUUGACUUAAUAGGGUAAUCUGGGAACUGUUCUCGCAACUUAAUUAUCUGAGCAAGAAGUCUCACAAAAGCUACAUUUCGAGUAAACAGGAGGCAAACAUGUGACCAUCGGUUAGAUGCAUCAACCAAAACCAUAAAAUAUCGAAAUGGUCUAUAAGGUGGUUGAAUAGGCCCACAAAUAUCCCCUUGAAUUCUUUGCAAAAAUGAUAGGGAUUCACCAUCAAUCUUUAAUUGCGAUGGUCUAAUUACCAAUUUCCCUUGAUAACAAGCCUUGCAAGGGUUAUCAUUUGAAAUAGCAAUGUGUCUACUCAAUAAUGGAUGUCCAUUUAAGUUGGUAAUGAUUCUACGCAUCAUGGUGGAUCUUGGAUGACCCAGACAAUCAUGCCAAAACAUGUAAAUUUUUGGAUCAAUGAACUUCUGGUUCAUAACGGUAUGUGUUUUAAUUGUCUUUAUGUAUAUAUAAUAAAAUCCACUCGAUAAACCACGUAACUUCUCCAACGUACGCUUCUUGGUAUCAUUAGAGGUAAUGCAUAGAUAUUCAUAUUUUCUGCACUUUUCGUUUCAAUGUGGUAUCCAUUUAAACCUAUGUCUUUAAAACUCAACAAAUUUCAAGUAGAACGAGUAGCGUACAACGUAUUUUGUAUGGAUAAUAUUGUUCCAUUUGGUAUCAUGAUCUAGGCUUUUUCUGAGCCUUCUAUUACAUCUGAUUCGCCUAAUAUUGUUGUUACCUUUACUUUUGUAAGCAUCAAGCUUGAGAAAUAUUUUUUUAUCUCCAAGUAUUGUGUGUGUGGUUGCGCUAUCUACAAGACAAAUAUCUCUGCCAUUGCUCUUGUUUUCAGAAUAACCAUAGUUUUUAUCCACGCUCUCUGAGUAAGGGAAUCAUAGUUAAAAACAAUUUAUUCAUAAUAAAAGGAAAUUGAAAUGUCACUUUUAUUGCAUGGAAAUGCGAGCUUUAAAACUACAAGUUCAGAUAAUAAAAGUACAUAAAAUAGAAACGAUUCAAUCGGAGGAAAACUGGUAGGCUUCUUCAGGAUUUCUAGAAGCGUUAUUCAUAUGAGCUUUACCUUUGUGGCGAUUUACAUUUUUGAAGCUCGAGCAUGAAUUAUGCCUUGGACCUUGGUAGUAAAACUGGACACCAUGAUUCUUGUCUUUCCCAUUCCACCAACCUCACUUGUGGCCACGUCCUCGUUUGUAAUUAUUGCCACGAGAUGAUGUGGUGUUCACUUCGAGGGAAGUAGUAUUCACUUCUGGGAAUGGUGCCGAUCUAGUAGGUUAAGACUGAUGGUUUUUCAUCAAGAGCUCAUUGUUUUGUUCAACCACAAGGAGCAUCGAUAUCAGCUGAUUGUACUCUGUAAAGGUGAUGUGAAUUUAAACUAACCUAAUAAAUAGAUUAAUUCAAACCAAAUUUACUCGCAAGUGCACGAAUCAGUUGUAGUGGAAAUAUGUAAAUACGAGAUCAAAUCCACCAUAGUUGAUUUAACAAUUUAAUCCUAUAACUAUUACUUAACAAAUUGAAAUAAAGAUUGGGUUUGUAUCGAAGAUUAAUUAAAAUUAACAAUGAUUAAACAAAAAUAUGAUUGAGAACAAAUGUAAGAAAACACUAAGGCUUUGAUUCCACCACUAAUUGUCAUACCCUAAUAACCAAUUGUCAACUCAUGAAUUAUCAAAUUAAUGAAAACAACUUUUGUGCAUAUGUCCAUGGUCAGGUACACAUGCCAAUAAUUUCCCAAAUAGUUGUGAAUUUUGUGGUCAGGCUUAAACUCAACUAUUUCUACAGUCUCUAUAUCCAUGGUCUGGUAUACACAACCAUGUAGAAAUCCAAUUAAGCACAGUGAGAAACAAAUUGACCACUUAUCAACUUGGUCACAUCAAACAAAUAGCUAAUUUUCUAGGAACACAAACUAAUAUUCGUCUACGGUCAGAUCAAAAUAUAAGUUCAUGAUUCUCAUUUACAAAGCAUCGAUAGAAUCCAAUUCAUGGUUAGAAAUAAAUUAAUAUGCAAAUAAUUUCAAUAUCAAAAUCCUAGGCUAUGGUCAAGCACAAAGAACCAAAUAUCAAAAUUGCAAUUAUACUAGUGAAUGAAAACUUUCACGAAUUAAACAAUCAAAUAACUAGAGUAAUCAUAAUUAGGGCUUCCUUUUAGCCUUAGCUAAGAGUUUAGAACCCCAUGAACAAAGAAUUCAUCGUAAUCCUAUGGAAAAUAUGCAUAAAAUAAAACUUGGAAAGAACCAAAUUGAUGGUGCUCUGUUGCUGCCUUCUCUGUUUCACGCCAAAAAGCCAAGGAGUCGGAGUCUUCUUGUUCUGCUGCUCUUCCUCCUUUUUAUCCGUGCCUCUCUGUUCCAAGUUCUCUAAAAAAUAGGAAUCCAAAUCAAGUUAAGAUUCCUGUUUUUAAAACAUCUCCACGGCCUCACUUAAAAGCCACUUACUGAAAUUUGGUUUUUGGGCCACAUAAGUAAAAAAGAAUCACCCCACCUAUUGGUCUUCAACCUAAGAAUAAAAUAACAUGUAAUUAAAUGGAUGAAGCCAAUGUAAUUAGGAAGACUAAAACAUAUAGGAUGUAUUAAGACCAUGUUAAAUUCCACUUUUAUCAAUAAGCCUCAUAAUCCUUAUAAAUUACAAAACUAAAGUAAUUUACUCCAAAUAAUUAGAAUUAAGCACUAAUAAAUAUAAAUAUAAGGGUAAUAAAUGUAAUAAUUUUGUGUCCAUCAAAUACCCCCAAACUUAUAUCUUGCUAGUCCUCGAGCAAAACAAAAAGACACAAUUACAAACUGAUCUUUCCAAACAACUCAGGGAGUUUACACACACACAUAUCAAGAAUAAUAGAGUGUAACAACAAAUAGUGCUCAAACCUUACUCACAAAAUAACACCUUCUUAAAACAUAACAUGCUUGAGUGAACAAAUAGCCAAAAGUUGAUACAACACAAAUGCAAGUGAGCUCAACAUGUUUAACCCAACUUCAACCCUUAAACUCACAAAAGAUACGCUCAAAUAGCACUCAAAGUGUUUAAGGUUAAGUGUAUACACUCAAAAGAUCAUUACAUGAAUGCUCUACCAUAAGCUUGCAGAUCGAUCUAAUCUCCACAAAUAAAAAAUUACUCUCCUUGGAUCAAGUAGGUCUUUAUCGAAGAUUGUAACAGAGGCUUACAGUGAAUGGCUAAACAGAUGAAAGGAUUGGGAAUACAAACAUUCUUAGAAAAUAUUAGAGUGUUUCUAAUUACCAUAAGCACAAAACACGAAUCACUCUCAAAAAUAGCAUCAACAAGCGUAACAUCUUCAUUCUAGUUUUCCUUUUUUCGUAUCAAAUAUUCUCUUAUGCACAAUACAAAUUCUGUAAAUCAACAAAACAAAGACAGCAACACAUGUUGCUCUCUCAUACCCCAAAUUCAUAUGAAAAUAAGCACUUGACAUCACCAACAAAUUCGAGUUGCUUUCAUUACCCUUAUGCAUGUACAGGACAAAAUCUCACAUCUUCUUCAUUGAUUUUUGUUUUUUCGUCAUCACUUCCAACUUUCAACUCUUAUUGAAUAACAUUAAAGCGCAUACUUCUAGCCUUGAUAACCAACCACCUUCGUCCAAACAUCCCUUUUAUGCAAACAAAUUAAGCUCCAAUGAAACAAUCACUCUAUCAUUUUCUCAGAACAAUUAAGGGUAGGAUAUAUAAAUAAGGGUUAAGAAUAGUAGAGAAUUUGGCUCACAAAGAAAAGGCUUCAUUGAAGGCUCAAAGGGCUAACUAGGAGUAAUGUAUAGGACACUGGCAUAUAUGGCAAUGAUGGUAAAGUCCUAAUGCCUACUAUCAUCUCCAAGUUGACGUAAUAUAUGAUACAAAGUCUCGAAAAUGUCUCAAAGCAAGUUCUGGAGAUGCACAACAUAUAAGAUUACACACAUGAAAACAACAAAAGUGUAUGAAAAAUGCACACACAAUAUUUGGGCACAAAAGCUCACAUGUGUGCCAGUUUUAUUCAAGUUAAGCAUGCUCAGCUUAAUAAAAUUUACAUAAUAUCAACCAAAGGCUAUUGUUCAUCAAACCCAUCAUGCCAGAAAAACGUUAUAAAGUGAACAAAGCUAAAACCCCAUAUGUUACCACACUUUUCUCAUUCAAGUCAUACAAGUUAUCAACUCAAUUUCGUCAUGGAAAUUUGGAAAGCAACUCAAAGGGAAAGAGAAAGAAACAUAUAAAGAAAUAUUUUUGGGUUUUUUUUUUCUAAUUUUUUAUUUUUUAUUUUUUUUCAACUUUAAAAAAGACCAAACUAAAAUAUCCUAAAACAAAGAAAACAACAGAAAAAAGAGAAAAGUUAGGGAACUUCCCUGUUUGUAAAUGUAUCUCUGUUUAGCAAAGCAUCCAAUGGAUGUGAAUGGUGCACGAAUGAUCAACUUUCACCCAAAUAUGACAACAAUGACAACAAUGACCAACUUAAUCUCAUCCAAACUGCAAGCAAACAUGCUGCAAUACACCACUUUGUUCGAAUUUCCUUUGUCGAAUUGGAAUAGAGAGCCAGACCUGCAAACAGAACAAACAUCAACGAGCAAAUAAGUAGCAGCAGCGAAGCAAUCUAAUGGAAAAACUAACAAAAAAUAAAACUUAAAGAAAGAAAACUAAUGAAAAGAAAUUGGGUUACCUCCCAAUAGCGCUAAUUUUACUGUCUUCAGCUUGACAUGACAAGGAAUCACUUCAUAUAAAAUGGAUCAGUUAAGAGAAUUUUGACAGAGGCAAGCUUGGUUGGAGGUUCGAAGUAUGGCUUUAAUCUCUGACCAUUGACUUUGAAAAUAGUACCAUCGGUAGGAUUUUUAAUCUCCACUGCUCCAUGUUCAAACACCUUUAGCAUAAUGAAAGGUCCAUACCACCGAGAACGUAAUUUCUUUGGAAAGAGACGCAAGCGAGAAUUAUACAAUAACACUUUUUGAUCAGGUGUGAAAGACUUGCGAAGAAUAGAUUUGUCAUGGUACAACUUAGUCCUCUCUUUGUAAAUCUUAGCAUUUUCAUAUGAAUCAUUACGAAGCUCUUCCAAUUCACUAAGUUGUAACUGCCUCUGAGAACCAACCUUUUUCAUGUCAAAGUUGAAGGUUUUGAUAGCCCAAUAUGCACAAUGUUCUAACUCAACGGGUAGGUGGCAAGCUUUCCCAUAAACAAGCUUAUACGGAGACAUGCCAAUAAGAGUUUUGAAAGCGGUUCGAUAAGCCCAAAGUGCAUCAUCCAUCCUUGGAGUCCAAUCCUUACAAUCUGGACGAACAGUUUUCUCUAAGAUUUGUUUAAUCUCGCGAUUAGAAACUUCAACCUGGACGCUGGUUUGAGGAUGAUAAGGUGUGGCAACCUUAUGAGUUAUUGAAUACUUCUUCAUCAAUGAUUCAAAUGGCUUAUUGCAUAAAUGAGUACCACCAUCACUAAUUAUAGCUCGAGGAGUGCCAAACCGAGAGAAAAUAUUAGCUUUAAGGAACCGAACCACAACAGCAUGAUCAUUUGUUUUGGUCGUAACCGCCUCAACCCAUUUUGACACAUAAUUGACAGCCACUAAAAUGUAGAGAUUGCCAAUGGAUGGAGGAAAUGGGCACAUAAAAUCAAUACCCGACACAUUAAAUAAUUCGACAACAAGAAUAUUGCUUAAGGGCAUCAUGUUCUGAUGAGAUAUAUUUCCCAUUCGUUGACAACGGUCACAUGAAGAGCAAUAUACAUGUGAAUCACGAAAAGUAGUAGCCCAAUAGAAACCCAAUUGAAGAACUUUUGCAGCUGUCUUUUUGGCACCAAAAUGCCCACCACAUGCAUGACUAUAGAAGAAAGAGAGAAUGCUCUGAACCUUAUGAUCAAGAAUGCAUCUUUGAAUUACUUGGUCAAAACAAUACUUGAAAAGAUAAGGGUCAUCCCAAAAGAAGUGCUUAACCUCUGAUAAAAACUUAGAUCGAUCUUGCUUAUUCCAAUUACCAGGAAUUGCACCAGUUGCAAGAUAGUUAACGAUAUCAACGUACCAAGGUAACUGUGAAAUUGAAAAUAAUUGCUCGUCCGGAAAAGAUUCAUUCAAUGAAACUUGAUCGUCAACAUGGUCUGUAAUAAUUCGAGACAAAUGAUCUGCAACGACAUUUUCGGAACCCUUCUUGUCUCUAUUUCAAGGUUGAAUUCUUGUAACAACAACACCCAGCGGAUCAAACGAGGUUUUGCAUCUUUCUUGGACAUUAUAUGCUUCAAGGCGGAAUAAUCAAUGUAAAUUAUGACUUUGGAACCAAUUAGAUAUGAACAAAACUUAUCUAAUGCAAAGACCACAACCAACAACGUUUUCUCUGUAGUAGAGUAAUUAAUUUGAGCAUCGUUCAAACUUCGACUGGCAUAAUAAAUGACUGAUGAAAGCUUGUUUAACCAUUGUCCUAAAACAGCACCAACAACAAAAUCGGAUGCAUCGCACAUAAGUUCGAAAGGCUGAGACCAAUACGGAGGGUAAAUAAUUGGUGCAGACGUCAAUAGAUGGUUAAGCUUAAUGAAAGCCCCCAUACAAGCAUCAUUAAAGAUAAACACAGUGCCCUUGGCAAGUAAAUUGCAGAAAGGUCGAGAAAGUUUGGUAAAAUCUCUGAUAAACCUCUAUCAAAAUCCCUCGUGGCCUAGAAACGAUCGAAUAGCUUUUACCGAUUUCAGAUGAGGAAGGCCAGCAAUCAAAUCAACCUUUGCUUUGUCUACUUCAAUACCUUUACUGGAAAUCACAUGGCCAAGAACAAUUCCUCGAGUAACCAUGAAAUGGCACUUUUCCCAGUUUAAUACUACAUUGGUCGCCUCACAUCUUUCAAGAACAAGAGAUAAAUGAUAUAAACACUCAUCAAAUGAAGACCCAAAAAUAGAGAAGUCAUCCAUGAAAACCUCUAAAAAAACGCUCAACCAUAUAAGAAAAUAUACUCAUCAUGCACCGUUGAAAUGUAGUUGGAGCAUUGCACAACCCAAAUGGCAUUCUUCAAUAAGCAAACGUAUGAUAAGGACAAGUAAAUGUAGUUUUCUCUUGGUCCUCGGGAGCAAUGGUAAAUUGAUUAUAUCCAGAGUAACCAUCUAAGAAACAAUAAUGGCAAUGACUAGCCAAAUGCUCGAGCAUUUGAUCAAUGACCGGGAGAGGAAAAUGGUCUUUUCUGGUGUCAUCAUUAAUUUUUCUAUAAUCAGUGCAAACAUACCAACCAGUGGUCAUUCGGGUAGGAACAAGCUCUUCUUUAUCAUUAUUCACCACUAUAAUUCUAGACCUUUUAGGGACAAUUUAAACUGGACUAACCCAUGUGCUGUCUGAGAUGGGAUAGAUAACACCAACAUCCAAUAAUUUCAAUACCUCAUCUCGAACAACCUCUUUCAUAUGUGGAUUUAAUAUUUUUUGUGGUUGGAAGAUAGGCUUGGAAUUCUCCUUAAGAUGAAUGCGGUGCAUACACAUACUAAGGCUAAUACCUUUUAUAUCCGCAAUGGUCCAUCCCAAACUCGUCUUAUGUUUUGUUAGAACUUCCAUCAAUUGAUUUUCUUGCAUACUUGUCAAAUCAGAAGCAAUGAUGACUGGUAGAGACUUAGAAGGGCCCAAAAAUGCAUACUUCAUAUUAAAUGGUAAUUGCUUGAGCUCAAGCGCUAGUGGUUUCUCAAUCGAUGGAACUAAUUUUGACUUGGAAGGAGGAAGUGGUUCAAAUUGAGGUUUCCACUUAUUAACAUUCAUAAUAGGGGUAACAUCAAGAAUUCCAUUGAUCAUGUUAACCUUGUUGUCUUGAUCAAAGUCCAUGCCAAAAUGAGUCAAGCAUGUCUUAAGAGGGUCAUCCGAAGAUGUUUGCAAAAAUGAAUCAUGAGUGAAUCUUUCAAUCAUAUAAACAGUUAACGAAUCAAGAGAAUCAAGACCUUGUCGGCUUGCUUUAAAUAUGUUGAAUUCAGCCUUGAUAUCACCAACUCCUAGCGUCAACAAUCCACUUCUACAAUGAACAAUAGCAUCCGCAGUAGCCAAGAACGACCGCCCAAGAAUAACAGGAAUUUCAUUGUUGGGAUUUUGGACAAGUUAUGUGUCUAAAAUAACAAAAUCAGCAUCAAAAGUGAACUUUCCAACUUGUACCAACACAUCCUCGACAAUUCCACGGAGAUUUUUUAUCGAUCUAUCUGCAAGUUGCAGUGCAAUGGAGGUUGGUUUCAGAUCACCAAGCAGAAAAACAAAAUAAGGCAACAGGUUGACACUUGCUCCUAGAUCAAGCAACGCCUUUUCGAAAGUAUGAUCACCAAUAGUACAUGUGACAGUAAGGCAACCAGGAUCUUUAUAUUUCCGAGAGAAUUUUCUAGUGAUUACCGAACUAACCCGUCUAGCAAGAAAUACUUUCUUAUGAACAUUUGACUUACGUUUCGGCGUACAAAGCUCCUUGAGAAAUUUAGCAUACGCUGGGACUUGAUCAAUUGCAUCUAACAAAGGAAUAGAAAUCUGCACUUGUUUGAAUAACUCCAAAAUCUCUUUGUAAUUUGAAUUCUUCUUGGAUGAUGUCAAUCUUUGAGGAAACGGAACUUUAGGCACAUGAGAUAUGGAUAGAUCAGAUUUGUUUGAAGAAUGGAUUGUGCACUUUUAGAAGUCAUUUGAUUGUAAGAUCAAUGUAUUUCACCCCUCUCAUCAUCGUUGUCUUGAGAAUCAAAAUUUUCAUCACUCUUAGACACGACCACCACGUUAUUUACUUGUUUACCACUUCAAAGUGAUAUAAUUGAAUUAACUUAUUCAUGGCCCUUUGGAUUGGUCACUGGCUGGCUUGGAAACUUACCAUUUUGCCUCUCACUUAUUGCAUCAGUGAGCUAUCCUACUUGAGUUUCUAGCUUCUUAAGUGAAGCUUGAGUAAUCUGAAUAGAAGCCUAAGUUUGUUGCUGGAAAGUUUGAGUGCUUUGUUGAAUGCAAGUUGACUUUGUGCAAGGGCAGCUAUACUAUCCUCCAGAGACUUAGAUUCAGAAAAACCAGUUGCAAUCCUUUGAGGCUUUACAUUACCUUGGGUAAGAUUCAAUAUAUUCCGCUGAUUUGCAUAACUGAAAUUAGGGUGAUCCCUCCAUCUUGGAUUAUAUAUAUUUGAGUACGGAUUGUGCUUCGAAGAAUACCAUCCUUGUCCAACAAAAUAACAUGAUCAUUUUCUGAACAGAUUGCACAUAUAUCAGAUUUGAGAACUUAUUGAGAACUUUUAGGUGAUAAGGUCUUAAUUAGUGCUUCAAUAUUCUUGUUCAUGGAAGCCAUCUCUACUUGCAGACCAUCAUUAGAACUUAUUACAUAUGCACUUCUUUUUGCCUGGCAUCCCCUUAUAUUAAAUUGCUGUGAAUUCUCUGCAAGUUCCUCGUACAUUUCAAUUGCUUUCUCAUGACUCAUCUUCAUUAGCAUACCUUUGCAAGCAAAAUCCACAAUGGCUUUAUUCGGAUCAUUUAAUCCCUCAUAAAAUGCUUGUACCUGUUCAUCCCCAGGUAGAUUAUGAUUAGGACAAUUGACAAACAAUUUAUUAAAGUGAUACCCACGCCUGAUGGAAUGAAUCGCCAUCUCUUUGAACGAAGGAUUCUUGUGUGCAGGGAAAAACUUCUUUAUGAACUUUUUAGCCAAUUGUCCCUAAGCAGUGAUGGAAUUAGCAAGUAAUGAACGCAACCACUUUUUGGCAUCCUCUUUUAAAGAAAAAGGGAAUAAAAUAAAUUUAAUCUCAUCUGCACAAAGUCCCCUAAUGUACUGCGUUUUGCAUAUGUCAAAGAACUCUUGAAUGUGUGCAUAAGGAUCUUCUUUUAGAGAUUCUCCAUUGAAGUGACGAAGGAUAUUGAGCAGCUGAGGAGAUAACAUACAAGUUCCAUCAAUAUUAGGUUGGAAUGCAAUGCACGAGGGCUGAUCCAAGUCCUAGGGGUUAAAAGACUCCCUCAUCAGCCUUCUAACCGACAUAAUUUCCCGAUCUUGUGCGGCCAUCUCUGAUUCUUUUUCAGAAGUUGGUGGAGUUUCAAACACCUCUCCUUGAGAUAAAUAUUUCCGUUACUGGUUUCAUAAAGUCCGCUCAAGUUCGUGAUCAAUAGGAUUAAGUGCUAGAUUGAGUGAUCGACGUCCUUGCAUCUACCAGAAUAGAACAAAACUGAACAGUACCUAAAAAAACAAACAAAACUUAAGAAAGAAGAACACAUAGAAGAAAGCAGAAAAGAAAAAUCACUAACAAAUAAAAUUCUAAACUAACUAUGAUAAGCAACAAUUAAAGUUUAAAUUAGAAAAAGUAAUCCCCGGCAGCAACAGCGCCAAAAGCUUGAUGUGAAUUUAAACUAACCUAUUAAAUAGAUUAAUUCAAACAAAAUUUACUUGCAAGUGCACGAAUCAGUUGUAGUGGAAAUAUGUAAAUACGAUAUCGAAUCGAACAGAGUUGAUUUAACAAUUUAAUCCUAUAACUAUUACUUAACAAAUUGAAAUAAAGAUUGGGUUUGUAUCGAAGAUUAAUUAAAAUUAGCAAUGAUUAAACAGAAAUAUGAUUGAGAACAAAUGUAAGAAAACACUAAGGCUUUGAUUCCACCACUAAUUGUCAUACCCUAAUAUCCAAUUGUCAACUCAUGAAUUAUCAAAUUAAUGAAAACAACUUCCGUGCAUAUGUCCGUGGUCAGGUACACAUGCCAAUAAUUUCCCAAAUAGUUGUGAAUUUUACAGUGGUCAGGCUUAAACUCAACUAUUUCUACAGUCUCUAUAUCUAUGGUCCGGUAUACACAAACAUGUAGAAAUCCAAUUAAGCACAAUGAGAAACAAAUUAACCACUUAUCAACUUGGUCACGUCAAACAAAUAGCUAAUUUUCUAGGAAGCCACACAAACCAAUAUUUGUCUACGGUCGGAUCAAAAUAUAAGUUCAUGAUUCUCAUUCACAAAGCAUCGAUAGAAUCCAAUUCAUGGUCAGAAAUAAAUUAAUAUGCAAAUAAUUUCAAUAUCAAAAUCCUAGGCUAUGGUCAAGCACAAAGAACCAAAUAUGAAAAUUGCAAUUCUACUAGUGAAUGAAAACUAAUCAUCAAUAUGAAAUUCACGAAUUAAACAAUCAAAUAACUAGAGUAAUCAUAAUUAGGGCUUCCUCUUAGCCUUAGCUAAGAGUAUAGAACCCCAUGAACGAAGAAUUCAUCGUAGUCCUAUGGAAAAUGUGCAUAAAAUAAAACUUGGAAAGAACCGAAUUGCUCGUGCUCUGCUGUUGCCUUCUUUGUUUCACGCCAGAAAGCCAAGGAGUCGGAGUCUCCUUGUUCAGCUGCUCUUCCUCCUUUUUAUCCGUGCCUCUCUGUUCCAAGUUCUCUAAAAAAUAGGAAUCCAAUUCAAGUUGAGAUUCUUAUUUUUAAAUCAUCUCCACAGCCUCACUUAAAAGCCACUGACUGGAAUUUGGUUUUUGGGCCACAUAAGUAAAAAAGAAUCACCCCACCUAUUGGUCUUCAACCUAAGAAUAAAAUAACAUUUAAUUAAAUGGAUGAAGCCAAUGUAAUUAGGAAGACUAAAACAUAUAGGAUGUAUUAAGACCAUGUUAAAUUCCACUUUUAUCAAUAAGCCUCAUAAUCCUUAUAAAUUACAAAACUAAAGUAAUUUACUCCAAAUAAUCAGAAUCAAGCACUAAUAAAUAUAAAUAUAAGGGUAAUAAAUGUAAUAAUUCUGUGUCCAUCAAAAACCUCGCUCUCUAUACUGCUGUUGCAGUAGCACAUUGGAGGCAUGAAAGGUGUCGAAAGUCUUUUCCAACAUAUCUUCCUCAAUGAUGGUUUUCCCACAAAGCUUCAUUUGGGAGCUAAUUCUAAACAUUGCAGAGUUGUACUCAGCAACCGACUUGAAAUCUUGGAUCCUCAGGUGUGUCCACUCAUAACGAGCCCUUGGAAGAAUCACCGUUUUCUGGUGAUUGUAUCUAUUUCUCAAUGCCUUCUAGAUGGCUAAUGGACCUUCAACUGUUAGGUACUCUCUCUUCAAUCGUUCAUCAAGGUGGCGACGGAUAAAAAUCAUGGCCUUCACCUGAUCUUGAGAGGAUCCAUUGUUUUCCUCUUUGAUGGUUUCUUUAAGAUUUCCUGCCUCCAGAUGGAUCUUGGUAUCCACUACCCAAUUAAGGUAGUUAUUCCCAGUAAUAUUUAGGGCAACAAAAUCAAGCUUUGCCAAGUUUGCCAAGUUUGCCAAGUUUGCCAUCUUCCUUUUCUGAAAAAAAAAAAAAAAAAAAAAAAAAGAGAUGUGUAAGAACUUGCAAUAAUAUGUAUUCUGGAGGAAUGUAUUGUUAGAACUUCUGGUUCUUACAAAUUUGUUUCAUUUUGAUCUUCAGGCCAAAAUGAUAAGCACUUGAAACUUCAGGCUCAAGAUUUACAUAAUUAAUGAGGAAUGCGAUUGUCCCGCACCACUCUCAUUGAAACAAUAUAGCAUAGGAUGGGCGAUUAUACCACACCACUCAAGAGCAGGAAAAUUAAAUAUACAGAGUAGGGUGGGCGAUUAUACCGCACCACCUGAAAAUGCAGUUAAGAUUAAAUAUGUAGUUCAAGAUAGGGGAUUGUUAUAUUGAGAACUAGGAAUAGGUACAGUGCUAGCAGAUAUUGGAGAAGGUACAUCAAGUAGGUGAGGCAGGGGAGGAAGAAGAACAAUCAAAUCCUUGGAGGAAGCUUUUUUUUUUUUUUAGGCAAAGGGAAAUGAGAACUGGUUAGGGUUAUAGAGUCGUGCUGAUAAUGUGUUAUAAAUAGGCAAAAGUUAGAGAGGUAACCUUUACUAGGGAUAGGAGCGAAGCAGUGCAAUUUAUCAUACUGUUUAGUUUCAUAACUCUAACACAAAAAGAUUGCAGAUAAAGAGAGGAAGAGAGGGAUACUGAUAUUAUUGUUUUCACUUCUUUUCUUUUGCUGUGUAUUGUGAUUACACAUGGAGUGCUCUUUAUGUAGAGCCACAUCUGUGAAGGUUUACAAAAAUUGAAAUGAUUGUCUUUUGAAAAACCUCACAUAUCAACAACAACACAACUAUUCUCAAGCCUUCUUGACUAUUAGCUAAAGCAUGUGGGCAUACAUUCCCACAAUUUUUACAACAAUUUGAAAACAAUAUGGGAAAAAAAGAUUCGUAAAUAGGGUUUUUGAACUUGAAGAAUAUUAAAAUUUAAUAAAAAUUUAGAUUAUAUAUUGAUUUUAAUUCUUUAAUGCAUACUUAAUUCAAAUUUAUAUUAUAUUUUGUUUUAAUAUUUAAUAGAUAUCUUAUUGAAUGUCUCCAUGUUAAUUUUAAAUUUAUUAUUAUACACAUUUUAUUUCAUUAAUUUUAUUUAACUUCCUCUAAUUAGUGUACUUAAACUUCCAUAACAUAAUAUAUUUUACUAAACUAAUGUACCAAAAUAUCUAUGCCUAAAUAUAGAGUAAUAAAUUAGUGGCACAUAAGAAAAUAUAUGCAAAAAAAUAAGUGCACCAAAAAGUUUGUACCUAAACAUAUUAUACUAAACUUGUGUAUUGAAAUGUCCGCAUCUAAAUAUAUUAUACUAAACUAGUGUACCGAAAUGUCUGUACCUGAUCAUAAUACUAAACUAGUGUACCAAAAUAUAUGUACCUAAUCAUAUUAUACUAAACUAGUGUAUCGAAAUGUCUGCACGUAAAUAUAUUGUAAUGUAUUAGUGGCACAUAAGAAAAUAUGCAAAAAACGUAAGUGUAUCGAAAAGCCUCUACCAAAAUAUUUUCUUAUAUAACAUAUUUACCAUAAAUUGGUGAUGGAAAAUGUUCACAAAUAAAAGCUAAUUCAUUGGAAUUUCAAACGAGUAUUAAAAAUUACAAUCUUUUUCCUAAAAAUUUAAAUGAAAAAAACAACACAUUGAAUACGCAUGGUGACAUUAAAUAGAGUCUACAGACUAAAAUCAAUUUUUAAUCUUGUAUAAGACAUUUGUCUAAACUUCAUUUUACGUAACAAUUAAAAUCUAGUUUUCUAUUCAUGAAAUUGCUACUAAGAAGAUAGAAACACCUUUCGUUAGUAGAAUUUUUUUUUUAUUUUCUAGUUUAUAACAAUUUUGUAGGUUUGAUUUUAUGGUGCUCUUCCAAUUUUUUGUUUUCCACUCUUUAUAAAUGACUCAAUGAGCAUCCAAUUAUUAUAGGGUUUUAGUGGUGAAAGCUAGAAGCUAGAAUUCUAAAUUUGUUAUUUAUUUAAAUAGGUCCCACGUUGCCCCGGACUAAGGCUAGGGCUAAUGGAAGGAGACGGCGCACAGAAAUCACGCGAUCUAGUAGAAGGUGUUGCAUGGAGAUGAUGCGAUUUGGUAGAAGGAGGCUUCGCAAAGAAGAUGACUAAGAUCUUGGUGAAAGGUCUUAAAUGGGACUAAAGCCCAAAACUACAUAUAGCCCAUCAAAUCUACACCACUACCACGACCAUGAGCAUCCUUUCUUUUUGAAAGUUUUUUUUUUUUUUUUUUUUUUUUUUUUUUACAACUUCUUUUGGAGAGUUUGAAUUAUAUAAAUUUAAAUUUGGGUAAUUAAUUUUAUAUUGUUCUUUAAAAAAUAUAUUUUAAAUAUGUAUUUCAUAUAAAUUUCCGUAUUGUGUCUUUGUUUUUAGAAAUUUGACGUAUCCACGUAUCGUGUCCUGUCGUAUACAUGUGUCCAUGUUCGUUCGUUGUAGGUGGAAAAUAAUGAAACAUGAAAUGCAUAUGAUUAAUUGGAAAAUGGAUUGGAUGCUCUUAAGAAAAAUAAGGAUUUUCACACUUCAAAUUUUCUAUGUUUGGAACUUACUAACAAUUUUUUUUUUUUAUUCUCGUUUUAUUUAGUUGAUUGAAAAAGAGUGCAAAUAACAUUUUUUUUUUUUUUUUGCUCUCACUAUUUUGUUUCUAGUUAGAUUUUCAAGUUUAGAUUGAGGACGGUCCUAAUUGGCUUUCUGAGAUGUUUUUGUCUGAGGGUAUUGACGCUUGAGUUUGUGAUCAUGACGUGCUAACGUACGGUACAUUUUCCCUUAUACAUAUUUCAUUCAUGUUAUUAGUUAUUACUCGGAUCCUUCAUAAUGCAGUAUAUACCCUUUCUAGUUUCUUAUUGAUGAUUUUUUUUUUUUUUUUUUUUUGGUCAAACUAUAAAUUUUAUCAUAUUAGAUGUUAGAUUAGUCGCAAGCAAAGUUUGAACUUACGAUGUCAUGCAAUGACUCAACAUCUUUCCACUACUAUGGUAAAGGGUCACUUGCAUUCUUAUUGAUGAUUUUCAUAAAGGAGUUUUGAAAGACUAGUUUCUUUUUCGAUCGUGCCAUUUUGUCUGGAUUUGUGAAUAAAAAGUUACAUAUGGUUAUAAACCAAAUGAUAUGGUAAUUAAUCGUUAGACUGCAGAGAUGUAGACCGGAAAAAAGGUAAGGCUAAGGAAACUAAAUUUGUAAAUCCAAUUUUGUAAACCAAAUGAUGGUAAUUAAUCGUUGGAUUAUUACUUAAGUGUUGAUCAAUUUGUUUAGUUCUUAUUGGUGACACAUCAUUUCAUUUACAAAUUUAGUUUUUCUAAUAUUACUCAGUACUUAAAUUGUGUACUUCAAUUUAUAUAUGCAUAACCAACUAACAAAAGAUAGUGAUUUUGUGCAGAUUUGGUGGUGCCGACCCUAGCUUUGGCUGAGGUUGGUUAGUCGUUCUCCCUUCCAUCUCUAUAUCCCCUCUUCCUUCCUUUGGCUGCGUUUUCCCCUGCACUCCAUAUCGAUUUGCCCUUUUCUUCUUAUCCCACCGGCAUCCCUCUUCCUUGUUCAUCCAUACUCCAAUCUGCAUCCAUGGUUCACUGAGAUGUUGUGUAGAGCUUCAAUACUUGCACAUGCUUAGGUGUUCCCAACACCACCUCUUUAUCUUUGUCUGUCGUUGCUGGCAAUGUUGCUCGUGAGUUUCCACAGGCUUCUUUAUUCUGGUAGCUGGAUUUCUUCAAUUGUGGCUGCAUAGCAAGUAGUGCUCGGGGUUGGAUGCUACGAUCGGCAAGUCGACGUGAGGUUGGAGGUGUGAAAUUGGGCGGAUUGAGAGAUGUACAGUUGAAUCUGCGGCUACAGUUGACUUCUUGGCUUUCUUUAGUUUUUUUGUUUUCGGCCCAAGCUGUUGAUUGGGCUUUGCUUUGUUUGUUUUGCUGGUCCAUUUUUCUUGUUUAUGUAUUUUUUGUCGUUGGAGCUUUGGUUAUAAAGUUUGUAAGUUUGCUUGUUACUAGUGGUAGUAUUUUACCUUUUUACCAAAAAAAUAAAAAAUUGUUUGUGAUUUUGUUUCUUUGCACUUCCCGUUUUACUUUAUGAUGUUUGUAUAUGGGGUGGGAUCGAUCCUGCACAUUUUUUCAAUGGAGAGAACAGAGAAAGUAUGUUACGACAAAUAAUUACUUUAUGCAUGUGCAUAUGGGUAGGGACCCUGAACAUUUUUUCUAGGUAGAGAACAGAGAAAGUAUGUUAUAACAACGUACGCGAGCACACGGUUUCGUUCAUGGUCGCUGUCAAUUGACUCCCCAAUUAUUAUUAUUUUUUUUAAAACAAUAUGAAGGAACAAGAUUCAUGAAAUUGCUACUAAGAAGAUGGAAACGCCUUAAAUAGUAGAAUUCUCUUUAUUUUCUAGCUUGACAUCUCUAAAAGUUUAAUAGGUUAACUUUUUUCUGGCUUGUAUACAUUUGAACCAUUCCAAUUGUAUGAUGAUGCUCUUCCAAUUUUUAGUAUUGUCUUCCACUCUUUACAAAUGACUCAAUAAGCAUCCAAUUACAUAAUUACUAUAAAGUUUUAAAUGGAGAAGAAAUUUCAUACAACAGAGAUUUUAUUUUGUAUCCCGAAUAAUCACAUAUAAAAAGAUCAAAAAGAGAUCAAUCACAGCAUUAUAUGACUUGAAAGUCAUUGAAAUUAUAACACACGUCACCAAGAACUCACGGGCAGAAAUACAAAACAUUUGCACUAAUUGGGUCAUUGGCUCAUAUGCUAUAUGGUGGGCUAGGGUAAACGUGGCUGCUGACGAUCUUCUUGGCAUUUGAGGUUUCAGAGGCUCCAACACCAGCACAAGUGUCUGCAACAGACCAAAAACAUUGCACAAUUUGAUCAAGCAUCAUUCUUUUUACUAACCUUUUCUUCACAGGGAAAACGCUCCCGGCUUUCGGUUUGAACAUCCACGGUCCGGCCUUGUUGAAUUCCAUCAUUUCUUCUUGAGAAGGGUUAUUCAUUUCCACGUCUUUUUUUUUUUAGAAAACUUCAUUUUAAUCCCUAAAUAAGAUUGCUUUUUCAAUAAUACCGUAUGUAAGAUUAAAAACUAAAAAUAGUCCUCCAUGUCAGAUUAUAGUAUUCCAUGUCACAUUUAAUCAUUUUUUAAUAAAUUUAUUGCAUUUUUAUGAGGAUUGAAGAAUUGAAACCCUUUUCAAGUUUAAAUAGGCAAAAUGAACAGAAAAGGCCAAAGAGGGUUGAUGGCCGAAACGUUUAUUCAUGGACCAUGUGACAUCACUCCGUGUCACUUUUUUCCUAAGGGUGACAAUUUGUAAACUUCGUCAAAUUCGGCACCAUAAUGUGUUCAAUAAUGUUGUUCAUACCAUAUUAUUAUACCACAUUAUGUGAUAGCUUAAGUGUACAACUUAGUUGUAAUAUUUUUCCUAUUAAGCUUUAUGUUCAUUUUUUGCUUAAAUCUCAAUAAUUUUAAUCCUUCCCUGUCAUCUACCUUUCAUCCCGGCCUCCACAGUCCCACGAAAGAUUGACAAAAGAGGCUGUCAUCAUCCAUGAUUGGUACUUGUAUCCAAUCUUCCUCCUUUUGUAAUAUUCCAGAAGCAGAAGAGAAUAGAAGAGAAAAUAUCGUAUCCAAUCAUUUUCCCUAUCUUCAAUGCCGAUGUGAUUAAAAACGCAGUGAAAUCCAAAGUUUGGCUGAAAGGCGUAAAAACUUGGAUUUAGAGACAAAAUAUAACAAUCAUAAUCAAUCGCCGGCAGAGGGGGAGGGCACAAUCAGUCGCCAGAAAAGAAAGGUCACUGUGGAGGGAGGAGAGGGAAGAGGAGGCAAAGGCGAGGAUAGAAAGCAUGAACAUUACGGUUUUAUUCAUUUCUUAAAAAACCUAUCAAGAAAAAUUAUUUUUUUCUUAAUUAAUGUGAUUAUCUACUUUAGUUGCCACAAGAUCUUUUUUAGACUGACAUGUCUAUCUAUUUUAAUUGUCUCAUAAGAUGGCAUGAAAUUAUGAAAUAUUUAGAUGAAAAGAAUAGAAUUACUCUAUUGGGUUACUUAUUUAAAAAAAUUUAGUUCUUUUACGACAUAAAAAUAAUUCAAGAAACUUUGGCCUUUUUUAUGUAGCUCGUUAUUCAAACUACUUGAAGGCAACAUCAACAAGUGGAUGCUUGGAGCUAGUUUCCAAUAGUUUGAUGCCAUCAGGUUGAAGGGAAAGGGCAUCAAAGUGUAAUUAGGAUCUAUAUAAUUCUUAUAUUUUAUUUGACUUUAUCGUUUAUUACUAUAUGAUCCAAACUCUUCAAAAGAACCAAUCUGCGUUUCCAUUAAUUUGGGACAUGAUAAAUAAAUAAACAUGCGAGCCUUAGAAAAAGGUCUCCUACGUACGUCUAACAAGACGUGUGGGACAGGGCCACUGUAUGCAUCCUUUCUCUCCCUUGUGAGAGUGAGGGUUUUUCUCAAGUGUUUGUUUGAGAGCAAUUCCACACCUAAAGAUUUUACGCCAAUACUCAGCGUAUUUAUCCACUCAAAUGAACAGUAAUAGACCCCAGUGAACAGUAAUAGGCCAUAACAUCUCCACCCCUAAAAAAAUGCGCUGGCACCCAGUCUAAAAAUGCAUUGGCACAAACGAUCUCCACCCCUACAAAAUGUGCUGGCAUCCAGCCCAUUUAAAAUUUUUUAUAAAAGAAUAAAUAAAUAAAAUAGUUUUAAUUUCGGAUAAGAUUUUUAACCAAUCACAUCAUGCCACGUGUCAUUAUCCAAACGUACUAUUUUGUGAAUAGAUUUCCGCUAAGAUUUGCAACCAAUCCCGAUGUGCCACGUGUCACUAUUUGUUUACAAUAAUUUAGCCAAAAUUACGAUAAGAUUUUCAACCAAUCCCAACGUGCCACGUGGCAUUGUCCAGAACCUCAUGCUUUCUUUUUUUUGUCCAUAUAAACCCUACAUCUCUACAUCCAUCCUCACACCAAACUCAAUCCUUCUUUUUAGCUCAGAAUCCUUCUUCAUCGUUUUCAAAUCUUGAGUUUUUUUUUUUACAAUGUCUUCUUCAAGAAUAGUGCGUAAACAAUUUGUGGAACAACAGAAAAGAUUGUUGGCACAAUAAGAAGAAUUGAUCAAUCUCGAGGAAGGUGGAGGUGGAGAUGAGGCUUUCGCAAUGGAGGAGGACUCAGAUGAUGACCAUAGAAGGCAGAGGACCUCAUAUUCCCGCCGUGUCAUGGAAGUUGUGGGUCAGAUAGCCAAACCCAGACGUGCCGUAAACUUCGAUAGAAAAAGGGAAAGACAAGGUAAAGAUCUCUUGGAAGAUUAUUUUAUUCCCAACAUCGUAUUCCUUGAUCAUGUCUUUAGACGUCGUUUUAGAAUGCAACGAAGUUUGUUCAAUAAAAUCAUGAGUGCUAUUUGCAACCAUGAUCCAUAUUUUGUGCAAAAAGAGGAUGUUUUUCGUGUUCUAGGUCUUCUUCCAGAGCAAAAAAUUAUGGUUGCCUUGCGAAUGCUUGCAUAUGGAGCAUCUACAGAUCAAGUGGAUAAGAUCGUGAGGAUGGGAAAAACAACUGUUCUGGAGUCUCUAAUGCGGUUUUGCUCUACAAUUGAAGCCCUGUACACCAAUCAGUACCUCCGGAAACCCACGCCAAGGGACAUGCGAAGGCUUCUGAGGAAGGGUGAGAUGCGAGGCUUCCCUGGCAUGAUUGGAAGCAUCGACUGCAUGCACUGGACUUGGAAAAAUUGUCCAAGUGUGUGGCAAUGAGCUUAUGGUGACAAAAAAUGAGCCAAAAAUAUCAUUUUGGAAGCGGUGGCUUCAUUUGAUACAUGGAUUUGGCAUGCUUUUUUUGGUGUUCCAGGAGCUCAGAAUUACCUAAAUGUCCUUGCUCAGUCUCCAGUGUUCGACGAUCUACUGCAAGGAAAAUCGCUGAAAUGCACAUAUUAGGUUAAUGGCACUAAAUACGACGGACCAUACUACCUUGCAGACCGCAUUUACCCAAGGUAGGGUACGUUUGUCAAAACAGUGCCACAUCCACAGACUGAAAAAGAAAAACACUUCGCAAAAUGUCAAGAGAGGUGUACGAAGGAUGUGGAACAUUGUUUUGGCAUCCUGCAAGCUCGUUCGGCGAUUGUCAGGGCUGUAGCUAGAAUGUUUGAUGUCGAGGCUCUUCGAUCCAUCAUGAUGACGUGUAUUAUUCUCCACAAUUGAUGUGAAAGAGUCAUACUGGCACGUAACCCGCCAGAAUAACUUGAUUGAGCACCAGCGAGGAUUGCAUGAAGGCAAAGAUAAUUAAAAUGAGACUUGUGGUUGAAGAAUAAAGUGUAUUUUCUUUUUUAAGUAAUCUUAUUUAGUGUGUUUUUUUUUUAAGUUUAUAUGGUGAGGUUAUGUAAUUUUAUUUGGUGUUUUUUUUUUUUUUAAGUUUAUUUGGUGAGUUUAAUGUAAUCUUAUUUGGUGAGUUUGUGUAAUCUUAUUUGAUGUGUUUAAAUAAAGUACAAAAAAUAAAUUUGAAAUUGCAUAAAGUUCUAAAAAUAAAUAAGAAAUUACAUAAGAAAUUAAAUAAAGUUCUAAAAAUAAAUAAGAAAUUAAAUAAAGUACUACAAAUAAAUACGAAAUUAUACAAAGUCUGUGGAGUUAUGAUAUGUGGUGCUAGGAUCUUCGUUGCUAGGAUUUCUGUAGCUAGAACCCCCUCGACUUGUUUCGGCAUCUCUUGCACGCGUCCUUCACACAACCUCUUUUUUUUCCAAUGUCCAAAAAUAUUUUGAAUUCAGAGACAGUCCUACUAGAGGCUUGUUCAUAAUAAUGUCAUGAUUUGCUUGAGCCAUCAUUUCUUCUCUAAGCAUCUCAUUUUCUCGAUGAGUGCUUCUCUAAUCAUUUCAUUCUCUCGAUUAACUAUUUCUCUUUGUCUCUCAGCCGCCGCAUCAUGGGCCUUAGUAGUUGCUAUUAUUGUUGCCAUAGCAACAGCUUUUUCCUCAUCUCUAGCCUUUUCUUGUGCUAUGUUCAGUUCACCUUAGCAAGCAAGUUCUUCCAUAUAUUUAGUGUAGUCAUUUUUGGAAGAAUUACCUUUUUUCUUUGAUGCCUUUUUACCUUGAGGUCUGAGGGACUAACGAGUCAGUUGGGUCUCCAGCACUUACUCAGGCGUCCCUUCCGUGUCUUCAAAUGUGUUGGCUUUUUGUUCGGCUGUGUCUGCUUUUGGCGAACUGUGUAGACCCAUGCCGUGCAUGACAACUUCUGGACCAGUUGCCACAAUUUUGUAUCUAGGGCAAUCUUUGACAAUUUGCCAACAUUCCCAUUUGUUGAAUGAUUUGUUUUGGUUCUUUGCAUUGUAGAAUGCUUGUGCUUGUAGUGUCUAUAAAAAUGUGGGACAUCUUCAAUGAGCUUCCACGAAGUCAUUUUUUUCUCUCAAAGUGUACAAAAUAUUGAAAUGAAGAAAGUGUAGAAAGUGUACAAAAUAUUGAAAUGUGAUGUAAGAAAGUAAAAGAUGAAGGUUAGGUAUUUAUAGAAAAAAAAAUUAAAAUUUUUUAAAUCUUUCUGUAUUUUUAUGUAUUUUUUAAAUAAAUUUUAAUGUUGUUAAUUAAUCUGGACCGUUGGAUUUGAAAAAUAUUCCAAUCCAACAGCCAACAAGCUGCCACGUGGCCAACAGUAAUAAUUAUGACCGUUGGGCCUUUUUUUUGGGAAAAAACGUGGACCGUUGAUCUAUGAUUGGACGGUCCAGUUUAAAAAUGAAAUUCAAAUUUUUUUUACCGUUGGAAAUCCAACGGUCUAGAAAAACUAGCCGUUGGAAAUCCAACAGCAAAGAGAGGGCCACGUCGCCAUGAUCCAGAUGAUGGGUGAGUGCGCUGACAGCGGGCCCCACCGCUUUCAUUCUUGUCUCCUACUCACGCCCACUCGCAAGUGAAAGCAACGCGCCAGCCAAAUAGGUCGGUCCCGGGGUCAUUUAAAAAUGGGCUAGUCUAUUGCCUGGCUUAGGCUGGGCACCAUGCUAGUUUGUGGGCUGUAGUGGAUUCACUGACCCCAGCUUGGUUUUUUUACUGGGUGCUGGCACAUUGCACCUCCGGUGGAAGUGCUCUAAAGGUUUCAAUUUUGUGCAGAUCUGAGGGUGCCAACUCUAGCUUCGGCUGGGGUUGGUUAGCCGAUCCUUCAUUUCUUUGUCUCCUCUUCCCACCUUCGGCAACGUUUUCCCCUACUAUCUUUUUCGUUUUGCCCUUUUCUUCUUCUCCUAUUGGCGUCCCUCCUCCUUUUUCUUCCGUACUCCAAUCUGCAGUCAUGUUCUCCUGAGAUGGUGUGUAUUGCACAUGCUCGGAUAUUCCCAACACCACCUUCUGUCUGCCUUUGAUGGCAAUGUUGCUCGUGGAUUUUCACGGGCUUCUUUCUUCUGGUAGCCGAAAUUCUUUUUCCAGUUGCUUGAUUUCUUCGAUGGUGGCUGUGUACCAGGUGGUACGAGUUGACAUGUGAGUAGAGGUGUGGAAUUAGGCGAAUCUGGAAAUACUGUUGCGGCGGUGGCUGCUGCUGAAUUCUCGGCUUUCUUUUGUUUUUCUAUUUUAGGCCAACGAUGUUGGUUGGGCUCUGCUUUGGUGUGUUUGGUUGGUCCAUUUUGGCAAAAAAAAAACUAGACGUGUGGGACACGCAUGUUGUGAGUACCAAAAAUGGGAAUCUCCUCAACUUGUUUGCGACCAGCCUUCUAUUUGAGAAAAGGGGUGUGCUAUCCACACACUCCUUUUUACUUCUCUCAUACCUUUUGUUAAUUUAUGUCCUUUAAUCUUCUUCAAUUCAUUCGAUCCGACAACCGAAAAUUAUAAGCGUGUGAAAGAAGUAAAAAUGGGUGUGUGGAUAUCACACCUCUUGAGAAAAUCUAGUGACUUAAUAUCAGGCCAUUUAUACAUUUAUUUUUACUUUUAACAUAUUUUUUGUUAAUUUAUAUAUAUAUAUAUAUUUCAAUUUAAUUUAACGGUAAAAAAGUAAGAGAAAUGUGUAAAAGAUAAAAAUUAAAAAAAAAUUAAAAAAAAAACUGUGUAAAUAACACCACUUAUCAUAAAUUGAUAUAAUUUUAAUAUUUUAUAUUGUAAGUUAAAAAUUAAAACAUCGUAACCCCUUUGAAAAUCACCCUAGAGUGUGAAAUAUAGUUAACCUUGAAUUAAAUCAUUUUCUGUUCUUCUAUUAAAUCUCCUCUGCCCAUGACAUCUCUCCAAUUUCAGCCAUGGAAUUUGUGUUCGUUAAUAAUGUGACAAUCAGUCAUCAAUUUUGAUGUUUGAAAACCAAGGUCUAAAAUAUUGAUAUUAUCCUGAUAUUUUUAUCGAAAUUUCCGUGUUUUUGGACUACUGAUAUUUCCGAUAUCAUCGAUAUUUUAGACCUUAAUAGGAACUCUAUAUGGUACUAAGUCACUCAUGUAUCUUACCAUGCAAUGUAUAAAGUGUAAAAUAUUGUACUAAUUCAUUAUAUAUAAAUGAUUAUGGUGUGUUUAAACUUAUUUCAUUAAUUACUACAUAUUUUCUACACUCACAAUGUUUGCCAGCUCGCUAUAUAAUCAACUUAAAUCAGUUAAAUAUCAUACAAUACAUUUCCUUCCAAUUUUUUGUGAUAAACUAAUAGAUAAUUGACUAAAUAAACAUCGUGCAAAGUUUCAAUAAAAAUUUCCAAGUUUUUCUUACAAUUUUCGUGGUUUUUAUUCAAUUUUUAUCGAUAUCGAUAAUAUCCCGAUAUUUCCAUCGAAAUUUUCAUGUUUUUAGACUGCUGAUAUUUCUGAUAUUAUCGAUAUUUUAUACUGAAAACUAAUAUGAUUCUAACAGUGAGUAUAAUACAAUAUGCUGAAUAAAGGACUUUAUGAAAGUGACGACGGAAAGGACUAAAUUAACCUGCAACAUAUAGUCAAGUUAAAGGACGUAUAUUUAUGAGUCACAUAUAAGUCCAAAAACCAUCGUUUCAAACUAUCUUUCUACAAAUUAAGACUUGCACAAGUUGGUAGUCCUAUGAUAAAUUAGAUUAAUAUGUUUAACAAAAGAAGUAUUAUCUGAUUUUACCAAUCUGAACGGAUACUAAUUAGGAUCAUAGUUUAAAAUAUUUAUAAUAUCCUAAUAUUUUCAUCGAAAUUUCUUUUUUUUUGGACUACCGAUAUUUCCGAUAUCAUCGAUAUUUUAGACCUUGUUAAGUCACUCAUGUAUCUUACCAUGCAAUGUAUAAAGUGUAAAAUAUUGUACUAAUUCAUUAUAUAUAAAUGAUUAUGGUAUGUUUAAACUUCUUUCAUUAAUUACUACAUAUUUUCUACACUCACAACGUUUGCCAGCUCGCUAUAUAAUCAACUUAAAUCAGUUAUAUCUAUCAUGCAAUGCAUUUCCUUCCAAUUUUUUGUGAUAAACUAAUAGAUAAUUGACUAAAUAAACAUCAUGCAAAGUUUCAAUAAAAAUUUCCAAGUUUUUCUUACAAUUUCCGUGGGUUUUAUUCAAUUUUUAUCGAUAUCGAUAAUAUCCCAAUAUUUUCAUCGAAAUUUCCGUGUUUUUGGACUACCGAUAUUUCUGAUAUCAUCGAUAUUUUAUACCUUAAUUAGGAUGCAAAUGCGAUAGACAAAGAGAGAGGGAGGAUGGGGGAGAAAAAAAAAAGGAAAACUAAUGAAAAUGGCUUGAAAACUUUAAGUUUUAAUGAUAAGGACAAAAUAAAGGGUAAAGUGAAUAGUACCAUGAUUGACUUUUUAGUGUAAAAAUAUGGUUUUUCGUUAAAGUGAACAGUACCAGAUGCUUUUCAUUAAAGUUCCCAAUUAAAAAAGAUAAGGGAAAAAAGAAAGAUAACGGGGCUUUGAAAGAGUGUGUGCAUGUAACGUAUAAAAAACUUCAUGAGAGCAAAAGCCCAAAGUGUUCACACAUAAAUAGACCACGGUCAAGAGUCAAGAGUGCCAUGUAAGCACAUCACGCAACGUUCACAGUGUGAACAUGAAACCAUUAGAUUAAAACAACAGUAAGUAAACCACACAAAAUUAGAAGGGAACAAAUUGACAAGGCCCUACAACUCAAUUGCAUACGCAAAUGAAAGUGACUAAACAAUUUCACGUUGCAAUUUUUUUUUUGAUGGAAAAGAUAAUCAAAGAUAAUCCUUGAGUAAAAACAAUUUGAGGCAAUAACCAUAUCUAGUAUAAUGAAAAUUUUGUACAUGGUGACAUGAGAAAUUUUGAAAAGUAGUCAAAUUGUGGGCACGCAGAAGGUUUUUAGACCAAUGAUCAAAUUUUUAGAAUUUAACCACGCGAAGGGGAUUCGAAGUGAGUUCGAGCAUAUGUCCGAGGAGGCCUCCAGCGGUUAUAUUUCUAAAUCUUGACAGUAAUAGCAAAUUAAACUAUGUCUAUAUGUAUGUUGAAGGGCCCGUGCAUGAGUGUCAACUGUCGAGCGGCAACAAACAAGGCAGACUGUCUAAUUUUAAGAAAGCUAGACAUGUCACUCACCUUAGAUAGCUGUAGUAAUUGCAGACUUUGAUCAACAUCUAGCAUAAUAAUCCAACUGAUGAAGCAGGUCUUGCAUUUGGCAAUUCAGAAUUCAUAUAAGAUCGAACUCCUUAUUUAUUUGUUUUUUUUUAAGUGUUUUUCUCGACCUAAACAUGAUAAAUUUUACUAAAUUCAUGGUUUUUCCAAACUUGGGUUUCUGGGUUGUUUUAGUUCUAAUAUAUCAGAACUUUUCUCUCAUUUCCUCAUAUAUUUUUUUUCUUUAAAUUGUGUAUAUGGACCCUGUGAAUCUCUUAGAUUUUUGUUUUAAGGAAGAAUCUCUCUUAAGAUUUUUUAUGCACAUUUUAUUAACCAAAUCCGAAUCAGCGACACAAAAGCCAAAGUGCGCACACUCAUUCAUUCUAUGAAAAAACAGUAACAUUGAUACAUUAAAUUAAAACCAGAUAAGCAAACCGCAUGUAUAAUUUACAAAGGAAAGAAGCGAAAUACACAGAAUUAAGUACUUUUGGGAGGACUAGAAAAGCUGCUAAAUCAUACGCAUUACAAUGGUGUUUGAUGUAUAAGGUGAUGAGAAGCGAGAAUUAGAGAGCUAUUAGGAUUUUGGGGAUUGGGAUGCCAAAGCUGAUGUGGAAGGAGGAGGAUGAAAAAAGUGAACUUUAACAAAAACUCUCAGUAUUAUUUACUUUAACGAAAAAUUAUAUUUUUACACUAAAAAGGUAAUCAUGUUACUAUUCACUUUUCCUUUUAUUCUGUUAAACUCAAAAUUUUCAAACCAUUUUCACGAGAACUUCCCAGUAGGUCACCCAUCCUGGGAUUGCUCUCGUGCGAACUCAUUUAACUUCAGAGUUCCAAUGAAACCCGAAGCCAAUGAGCUCCCAAAAAAGCUGAUGCUAGGUAGAGAUGGGAAUAUACAUAUAAGGCUUACAGGAUCCACUCCCUUCGGCAAUGUGGGAUGUUACAAUCCACCCCCCUUAGGGACCCGACGUUCUCGUCGGCACACUAUAGGCCAAAGAUUGGCUCUUAUACCAAAUUGUCAUAUCCUAGCCCGGGCCCCCACCACAUCCCAUGCUCGACUCCACUGUAGCACGAUAUUGUCUGUUUUGGGCCCCGACCACGCCCUCACGGUUUUAUUUUUGAGAACUCACACAAGAACUUCCCAGUGGGUCACCUAUCCUAGGAUUGCUCUCGCGCGAACUCACUUAACUUUAGAGUUCUGAUGGAACCCGAAGCCAGUGAGCUCCCAAAAAGCCUCGUGCUAGGUAGAGAUGGAAUAUACAUAUAAGGCUUACAAGAUCCACUCCCCUGAGCGGUGUGGGAUAUUACAAUCCACCCCCUUAAGGGCCUGACGUCCUCGUCAGCACACUCCUGACUAGGGAUUGGCUCUCAUACCAAAUUGUCUCAUCCUGGUUCGGGCCCUCACCGCAUCCCGGGCUCGAUUCUACCGUAGCACGAUAUUGUCCGCUUUGGGCCCUGACCACGCUCUCAGGUUUUGUGUCUGGGAACUCACAAGAGAACUUCCUAGUGGGCCACCUAUCCUGGGAUUGUUCUCUCGUGAACUCGCUUAACUUCAAAGUUCCGAUGGAACCCGAAGCCAGUGAGCUCCCAAAAGGCCUCGUGCUAAGUAGAGAUGAGAAUAUACAUAUAAAGCUUAUAGGAUCCACUCCCUUGGGCAAUGUGGGAUGUUACAAUCCACCCUCUUAGGGGCCCAACAUCAUCGUCGGCACACUACCGGCCAGGGAUUAGCUCUGAUACCAAAUUGUCACAUCUCGGCCCAGGCCCCCACCACAUCCCGGGCUCGACUCCACCGUAACACGAUAUUAUUCGCUUUGGGCCCUGACCACACCCUCACGGUUUUGUUUCUAGGAACUCACACGAGAACUUCCCAGUGGGUCACCCAUCCUAGGAUUGCUCUCGCGCGAACUCGCUUAACUUUAGAGUUCUGAUGGAACCCGAAGCCAGUGAACUUCCAAAAGGCCUCGUGUUAGGUAGAGAUGUGAAUAUACAUAUAAGGCUUACAGGAUCCACUCCCCUAGGCGAUGUGGGAUGUUACAAUCCACCCCCCUUAGGGGUCCAACGUCCUCAUCGACACACUACCGGUCAGGGAUUGGUUCUGAUACCAAAUUGUCACCUCUCGGCCCAGACCCCCACCACAUCCCGGGCUCGACUCCACUGUAGCACGAUAUUGUCUGCUUUGGGCCCUGACCACGCCCUCAAGGUUUUGUUUCUAAGAACUCACACGAGAACUUCUCAAUGGGUCACCCAUCCUGGGAUUGCUCUCGCACGAACUCGCUUAACUUCAGAGUUCUGAUGGAAUCCGAAGCCAGUGAGCUCCCCAAAAGGCAUCAUGUUAGGUAGAGAUGAGAAUAUACAUAUAAGACUUACAUGAUCCAUUCCCCUGGGUGAUGUGGGAUGUUACAACUUACACUUUCUCUUGAGCCUCUGCAAUAUUUGCCCUCAUUGCCAUCUCUCUCUUUCUCUCUCUCUCUCGAUGUGUUGUGGGUUUCUUGCUCUAAGAAGAUGGGGUUUAAAUAACGAAAAAGAACUAUGAAUGAUGAGAUGACUAGAUGAAGGAAAACCCAAAAAUCAAUUCAAGAAAGAACAACAUGCAUGAGGAAGAUACCGGACUUAGAUCCUCUUUGGAUCCGUACACUGGGGAUCCCAUGGAUCAAUUAAUAACAACUGUUCAUCAAAUAUCGUGCGACCACAAUUGAAUGCUUUUUAUAUUUUCAACAAUAAAGUAGUCUCAUUUUACAUGAAAAAUAUAAAAUAAAAAAAAUGGCCACACGAUUUUUUAUGCAUGGUUGUUAUUUAUUUCCAGUGAGAAGAUAUGGAGAGGAUCUAAUUCCGGAAGGGACAACAAGAUCACCUUCAAAUGUAUAAUGAACCCUUCCAAAUGUAUAAUGGUACUCUUCCAAUUUUUUGUUUUGUCUUCCACUCUUUAUAAAUGACUCAAUGAGCAUCAAUUAUUAUAGAGUUUUAGAUGAAGAAGAAUUUUCAUGCAACAAAGAUUUUAUGUUGUAUCCUGAAUGAUCGCAUAUCACUAACGUACGCCUCCAAUGACUUCCCAUAGGUUUUCGUUCUCCACCAUGUAAGAGAGAAGGGAAAAGCGUACAAAUUAAGGGGAUAUUUUUUUUUGGAUUAUAGCUAACAAAUACGAAUUCUCCCAUCUCAAAGCAUAUAUAAUGUGUUGGGCAAGGGUUGGAAGGUAAGAGUAUCUAGUUAGCCCUUCAAAACGAAGAUAUAGAUUACCAAUAUGUUUUUUGGUUCACUUAGGAUUCUAAAUUUAUUAUUUAUUUAAAUAGGUCUCACGUUAAAGGCUUGCGUUGGGGUUAGUUUGGCCUUGAAAGGUGUCUAAGUUUCAAUUUGACUUGGCAAAUUUUGUUGGACUAGGAGUUGUUUUUCAAUUUAAGGCACAAUUAUCAAUUUACCCAGGCCAUAAGACUCCCAUUAAUUAGUAUCCCCUAAAACAGUUCCAACCACUCUAAAUCGUUAGUAUAUAUUAUAACUUACAAAUUAAUCGCAAAAGAGUAGUAACAUGUAUGUAAAACUUCAGAUUAAUCAUGAAUUGCCAAACCCAAGUUAUAGAAUUUAUAAAGUUGAUUAAAAACAGAUAGAAAGAUCAAAAAGAGAUCAAUCACAGCAUUAUAUGACUUGAAUGUCAUUGAAAUUACAACACACGCAUCACCAAGAACUCACUAGCAGAAUACAAAACAUUUGCACUAAUUGGGUGGCUCAUAUGCUAUAUGGUGGCCAUGGUAAACGUGGCUGCUGACGAUCUUCUUGGCAUUUGAGGUUUCAGAGGGUCCAACUCCAGCAGAAGUGUCUGCAAGAGAUAAAAAAACAUUGCACAAUUUGAUCAAGCAUCAUUCUUUUUACUAACCUUUUCUUCACAGGGAAAACGCUUCCGGUUUUCGGUUUGAACGUCCAUGGCUCAGCCUUGUGGGAUUCCAUCAUUUCUUGUUGAGACGGGUUAUCCAUGUCUUUUUUUUUCUGUGUUUUUUGAGUGUGUAUUAUGAAUAUUUAUGAGAAACAUUGCACAAUUUGAUCAAGCAUCAUUCUUUUUACUAACCUUUUCUUCACAGGGAAAACGCUUCCGGUUUUCGGUUUGAACGUCCAUGGCUCAGCCUUGUGGGAUACCAUCAUUUCUUCUUGAGACGGGUUAUCCAUGUCUUUUUUUUUUUUUUUUCUGUGUUUUUUGAGUGUGUAUUAUUGAAUAUUUAUGAGGAUUGAAGAAUAGAAGCCCUUUUCAAGUUUAAAUAGGCAAAAAGAACAGAAAAGGCCAAAGCGGGUGGUGACCGGUACGUGGAGGGAAGCAGCAUAUUCCUGGACCAUGUGACCAUCACUCCCAUGUCACUGUUUUCCUGAGAGUGACAAUUCGUAAAUUUCAUCAAAUUCAACACCAAAAUGCGUUACUUAUUUAGGAAAAUUUAAUCCCUUUUACACCGUAAAAAUAAUUCAUGAGAGAAACUUCAGCGAUUUUGAUGUAGCUCGUUAUUCAAAUUACUUGAAGGCAAAAGAGAUUGUGAAUUAAAUUUACACCAGCAUAAUAAUUCAUGAGAAAAUAGCAGUUAACUCAUUUAGCAAGUAAUUUGAGAAAAAGGUUAAUAAUGGGUUGUGAGAAAGAACAAACAAAAGUCCAAGAUUAACCCAGUUUGAUGAUCUUACGUCCAUUUUCUGUAUAGUUUUGGUGAGUGCGAUCAUCGCCUUACUAACAAACAGAAAUUCCAAAUGCAUGCAAUUCCUUCAACAUCAACAAGUGGAUGCUUGGAGUUGGAGUUAGUUUUCAAUAGUUUGAUGUCAUCAGAUUGAAUGGAAAAGACAUCAAAGGGUAAUUGGGAUCUAUAUAAUUGUUUUUUGUUUUAUUUUUACUUUAUCGCUUAUUCCUGGCUGUAUGAUACCAAUCUUCAAAUUAACCAACCAAUCUACGUUUCCAUUAACAUGGGACAUAAUAAUCAUGCGAGCCUUAGAAAAAGGUCUCUCACGUACGUCAAUAGACGUGUGGGACAUGCAUGCAGUGAGUGCAAAAAGAGGCAAUCUCCUCAACUUGUUUCCAACCAGCUGCGCGCCUACCAUUUGAGAAAAUCUGGGGAAUCGAAUGACUGAAAUUGAUAUGAUUCUUAGUCUCUGACAGUGAAUCCAAAUUAUCCUUUUAUUUCGAAAAUGUGAGCCGAGAUCCUAACUUGAACCCAAGAUUGAGUUAUGAAAGUGACUUAAAGGACGAACAUGCAACAUAUGAUCAAGUUGAAGGACUUAAAUAUAAGUCACAAAUAAAUUUCAGAACCAUCGCUCCAAAUUACCCUUCUACAAAUUAAGGCGUGUCUAAGUUGGUAGUCUUUGAUAAAUUUGAUUAAUAUAUGUUCAAUAAAAAAAUUUAUUAUCUGAUUUUACCAACUUGAAUGGGGGAGGAAAAGAAAGAUCUGGAGACCAUGAAAGAGUGCGUGUGUGUAAUGUGUCAUGUAUCAAUAAAAUCCCAUGAACGCAAAAGCCCAAGUGUUCUCACACAGAAAUAGACCACAUUCCAAGAGUCAAGAGUGCAUGCAAUUAAGAAAAUUACACCACAUUCACAGUGUGAACAUGAAACCACUUCCAAGAGUAACUAUCAAACAUCAUGGUGGUGAACAAGAGUAAGUAAACCACACAAUUAGAAGAGAAAAAGUUGACAAGGCCCUAGAACUCAAUUGCGUGUGCAAAUGAAACUGACUAAGUAAUUUCACGAUACAAUUUUUUUUUUAAUGGAAAUGAUAAAAAUCCUCAAGUAAAAACAAAUUCAGGCAAUAACCAUACCUAGUAUAAUGAUAAAUUUGUAUAUGGUGACAUGGGAAGUUUUGAAAAAUAGUCAAAUUGUGGGCACACUAAAGGUUUUUAGACCAAUUAUUCAAACUUUCAGAAUUUAACCAUGCGAAUGGGAGGAGGUGGUUAUAUUUCUAAAUUUUAAAAAUAAUAGCUAAUUAUAUGUAUGUAUGUAUGUCUGUCUGUCUGUCUGUCUGCCUGCAUGCUGAAGGGUCCAUGCAUGAGUGGCAGCUAUCGAGCAGCAACAAACAAGGCAGACUGUCUAAUUUUAAGAAAUAUAGACAUGUCACUUUGUAUAGCUGUAGUAAUUGCAGACUUUGAUCAACAUCUAUAGCACAACAAAAGCAGGUCAUGCAUUUGGCAAUUCAGAAUUCAGAUAAGACCAAACUCUGCCUAUUUAUUUGUUUUCUUUAAUGCUUUUGUCGACCUAAACAAGAUAAAUUUUACAAAUUUCAUAGUUUUUCAAAACUUGGAUUUCUUGGUUGUUUUAGUUCUAAUAUAUCAGAACUUUUCUCCCUUUUAUUUCCUCUUAUAUUUUUUUUCUUUAAAUUGCGUAUGGACCCUGUGAAUCUCUUUGAUUUUUUUUAAGGAAGAAUCUCUUAGAUUUUUUUAUGCACAUUUUGUUAACCCAAUCCGAAUCAGCGACACAAAAGCCAAAAGUGUGCACACAUGAAUCAUUCAUUCUAUGAAAAGGCAGAAACAUUGAAACAUUGAAUUAAAGCCAGAUAAGCAAACUACAUAUAUAAUAAAAAAAAAGUGAAAUACACAGAAUUAAGUACUUUUGGGAGGAGUAGAAAGGCUGCUGAAUCAUAUGGAUUACAAUGGUAUUUGAUGUUUAAGGUGAUGAGAAGUGAGAAUUAGAGAGCUAUUAGGAUUUUGGGGAUUGGGAUGCCAAAGCUGAUGUGGAAGGAGGAUAAGAAAAUGAGCCAAAGUAGAGAACUAAACUAUCAAACAUCAUGCGUUUCACUGAUUUUCUCUUGGCGGGAAACACACUUCCAACUUUUGGUUUGAAGCAUGAGUAGUAUUGCGUCUCCUGCAGAACCAUCAUCUUCAUUUCCCGAUCAUCUGGGUUCUUCUGUUUCUUCAUCCCUUUCUCUUCAGCCUCUGCAAUAUUUGCCCCCACUGCCAUCUCUCUCUCUCGCGUGCUGUGUUGUGGGUUUCUUGCUCUAAGAAGAUGGGGUUUAAAUAAUGAAAAAGAACAAUGAAUGAUGAAUGAUGAGAUGACUAGAUGAAGGAAAACCCAAAAAUCAACUCAAGAAAGAACAACAUGCAUGAGGAAGAGACAACAACAUCACUUUCAAAAAUAAAAGUGGGAUGCCUGAACAAAUGACACGUGGCCUUGGUGGCUCACUUCCCAUAUUUUCAUAAGAUUUUCUGGCACUGCCAACUUGCAGGAACGUUUUAUUUUGGAAAGAUUGAUUAGUAUUUUCAAGCCAACCAACAACUAGAAAAACAUGUUAUAAAGAAUAUACGGAAGAAAGUGAUCGAGUUUGAGGAAAAUGUACCAUAAUUAAAGAUAUAUAUAUAUUAGAGUGUUUAUAAAUCAUUUUCACUAAAGGAGACUCAAAGAUUUAAUCCAAAUUGUGCACGAUAGAAUUCCAAGUUUUUUUGCGUAUCCAAGACAUUUGACAUUGAUCAAGACAAAUUAUUGACAUACAAUUUCAAAUACAUAUAAGCAAGCAAACAUUUCAAUAGACUGGCUAGCAAACUUAGGACAUAGAUACGAUCAGCACACUUGUAUUUGGUUCUAUAAUUUUUUUUUUUUUUUUAAGAAAUUAUACCCAAGCUAGCUAAACUAUAAUAUUAAGGUUUAAAGAUCCGUAAUCGAUCCUCUCUGUAAUCUCUUUUGUAAAGUUCAUCAUAAUUGGAAUCGAUAUAAAAGUACUUGAAGAAUUUGAAUUAAAAAAAAAAAAAGAGGUAAAACACAUAGACAAGAUGAGAUAAUUAAAAAUAGAGACCAACUGAAAGUUGGAUAGUUUACAAUGCAUAAAUGAAACGAUACGCAUUAUAAACAAAAAUACAUGUACAGAUAGUUUGUAGAGACUGGAAUAAGUACGUUUCAUUAUGAGGAAUCCAUAUUCUACCAUCAAGUUAGGAAAAAACAUUGCUCAACAUGAAAUGGUAUUAUUAAAGGAAAAUUAAUGAAAAUAGCUUGAAAACUUUGAGUUUUAACGAUAAUGACAAAAUAAAGGGUAAAAUGAAUAGUACCAGGUUUGACUUUUUAGUGUAAAAAUGUGAUUUUUUGUUAAAAUGAGCAAUAUCGUGAGUUUUUCGUUAAAACUUUCCAUCAUUUAUUAGCAUCAUCAAACCCAAUAAAGUCAUUGAAGAUAUUCAAGUGUGAAUAGCUUCACAAGCACAAUAUCUCAACAUUAGGAAAAUGGGAUGCUCUAGUUAUUUUUGUUUUCAUUCCACUUCUUGACGACAUCGGUUUAUUAAACAUAAGAUAUUGUGUGUGCGUGUGCGUGUGCGUGUGUAAAUUAAUAUUAUAUAGAAACAACUUCCAAGAAGUUUGAUUCAUUAGCUUGCUAUAUUAUUCCUUGCCGUACUUGUUGAUAACAAGCAUGCAAAAUCUUUGGUAAAAGGAUUCUACGCCAUCAGACUCAUGAUCACCACACAUCUCGGAUAUAUAUAAAAAUCCAAAUCUAAUCAACUUGUUUCAACGUCACCUACCAUGAUGAGUCACUAACGGUCCACCAACCCACCACUUCACCAAUCUUAUUUGCUUUUGCUUGCAACGAGUAAACCACACUAAGGUAUGGUUUGGCAUUGAGGUACUUAAAAAAAAAAGUUGUUUAUUUUCAAAAUUUUUAUGUUGAAGGUGUUUGGUAAACUAAAAAAAAAAAGGAAUUAUUUUGGAAGCUGUUGUGAGAAUAAGUUGAAAUCAUCAGAAAAGCUGAAGCAGCUAAAUGCUGCUUUGGAAAACUGGUUUUUUUUUCUAAAGUCCAAUAACACCCUCUAUCUCAUUGUAGCUCUGUUCCCUGGCAUCAACUGUAUGCCUAACCUGAUUGUUUGAUAUCUCCAGACGGGUGAUCUCAGUCGUCAAAUCAUCAAUCUGCUUUUGCUUCUUCAUCCUCGAACGCCUCGCAGAUUCGCGGUUGGACAACAUCCUCUUCCUCUUCUUCUCGUCCACCGUCGCGGACCCAUCGGAUCCUGAGCUUGAUUGGUGCUGAACCGAAGACAUUUCUUCCUUUCUUCGGGUAAUUUACCCAAGAAUUGCAAAAAUUAGGAAUUGAUGUUUGUUACCUAAAUUAGAAUAGGGUUGAAAGAAUUGGGGCGAAAAUAAAAUUAGGAUUGGGAUUCGAAUUGAUGUGAUUAAUUCACGAGAAAACGUAGAACCAGUAGAGGAAGACAAUGGAGAACGAGUGGAGCAGACGGAUACGAAACAUAAUGUCAUAGAAAGACUAGACCCAUUGAUUUAGACUUUUACGAACUAGGGAUGGGCAAAAUACCCAUGGGUAUGGGUAACCGCGGUUACCCGCCCAUUUAAAGUUGAUGGUUAUGGUUAUGGGUAACCGUUUAAACAAAUAAACGGUUAUGGGUAUAACCGUUUAUCCAUGAAAUUUAAAUGGGCGGUUAUGGAUAUUAUCCGCGGUUAUAACGGGUAUCCAUCGGUUAUGGUUAAUAUUCAUGGUUAUAACGGGUAUCCAUUUACCCAUUUAAUUUAAUAUAUGUAAAAUUAAAAAAAAAUUAAAAACCAUCAGAGUUACAACUCUGUCACUCUCUUUCUCCGCCUUUCAACUUCGUCACUCUCUCUCCGUCCGUCGCUCUAUCUGUCGUUCUCUCUCUCCAUCACUCUCUCUCUCCAUCGCUUUCUCUUUGCACCUUUCUCUCCGUCGCUCUCUUUUGUGAGCAGCCUGGUUCACUUGCUGUACGGGUUUUACAUCUUCAGCACCGCCGUGGCCGACGAUCUGUCAUAGGAGUUGAGUCAACCUUCUUUACGCCGACGUCGCCGCCCCAACCCUCGGCGACUCCUCCGACUCCACCACCACGAUAUCCCCUAUGAACUCUCACUUCUCGGCCUUGACUUGCCGCGACACCCUCCGCCUCAUCUUCGAGAAGCUCCCGAUUCCCGACCUCGCUCGCUCCAGCUGCGUCUGCCGAGUCUGGAGCUCCUUCGCCUCCGAUCAGGAGAUCGUCGCCAAAGCCUUCAAAGUUCCUUGGAAUCUGAAGGAGGUGAUCGGAAAGCCGGCGUCUUCAAGCUUCUGGAGGGACAAUUCGAUCGGAAAAUUCGCCAUCUUGCACCAGAUUGUCCGCCAGGACACCGUCGCCAGCCUCGCCGUCAAGUAUUCCGUUCAGGUACGCAAGCAUUUUGGUUCUUAAUUCUUAUCAUCUGUUUGGUUGCCUAGAAAAAUGAAAAUGGAAAACACUUUUAGGCCAGUCUGGGACUCCUUAGGUAGAAAACACUACAUAGAAAUGCUUUUUUUUUGGGUCAAUUACAUAGAAGUGCUUUUAUUAAAGAACAAAAGUCGAUUGAUCAGAAACUCAAAAAAUAAAGAACAAAAGUCGAAAUUUUUAUUGAAAAUGCUUCUUGGAAAAGAAGUUGGAAGUGCUUUGAAGCACAUAAGUACUUCUAUACAGAUAAGCAAUUUUAAGUUUCCGGCCAAACAUGGUCUUAAUUCAAUUUCUUUCAGGUGAUGGACAUAAAACGAUUGAACAACAUGAUGAGCGAGCACGGAAUAUACUCUUAGGAGAGAUUAAGUGGGAGACCAACACCCACCUCGGCUUUGCUUAGGGCUGGUUCGGGACUGCUUGUGUCAUAAGCGCUUCUGCCAGUAGCGCUUUCGCCAAGUGAAUUUCAACUUGUAAUGAUUGUUCUAUCAGGCAAUGAAUCAACUUCAAAUGUGUAUAAGUGCUGUGAUUUGUAAUUGUAUCCACAUUGUCAAAGUGUUGUUAUUGAUAGAAAGCUUCUUGAUUUGAAUAGAGAAUAGUGUUCCGCUUUUCAUUUUUUGAUUAACUAUCGUUAAAAAAAUAAUGUAGACGGGAGAAAAAAAAGGAAAAUGGGUAAAAAAAGGAUAAACGGGUGAAAAAAUGGGUAAACGGGUAAAUGGUUAUGGUUAUGGUUAAAUGGGUAAAUGGUUAUGGGUAAAUGGGUACACGGUUAUGGUUAUGGAUAACCGUUUAUAAACGGUUAUGGUUAUGGGUAUAACUAUUUAUGUAAUUACCCAACGGGUAAACAGUUAUGCGGGUAUGAACAUAAACGGUUAUGGGUAAAAUAACCGCGGUUACCCGCCCGCAUAACCAUUGCCCAUCCCUACUAUGAACCCAGAAUUUCCAGGCCCCCAAAUCAAAUCCGAUCGUAUUGGAUUUUCAAGAACCUCAAAAAAAACACCAAAUUAAGUUGAAGGAGGACUUAUCUAAAAGAAAAACUAAUGAAAAUGGCUUGAAAACUUUGAGUUUUAAUGAUAAGGACAAAAUAAAGGGUAAAGUGAAUAGUACCAGGAUUGACUUUUUUGUGUAAAAAUGUGGUUUUUCGUUAAAGUGAACAGUACCGGGUACUUUUCAUUAAAGUUCCCUUAUCUAAAAGGCAAAGGCACAGUGGAGAAAGAUAGGCGAAUUGAGACAGAAGGAGAAAGAAGGUUAAUAAAAGAGGAGACUUCUAGAGAGACUAUUAAUAAAUAGAAGACAUGGAUUAUUAAUAAAUUAAAAUGGAUAAAAGAAAGAUAGGGCUCAUUUAUUAUUUUACAUUUAACAUUAUACUCAUUUUAUAUCAUUUUUUGUCAUUUCACACAGUCACUGUUGUUUUACAUAAAAGUUUACCAAACACUAUCAUACAGUUUUUUUUUUUUUUCCAAAAGCACUUUUACAAAAAAAAAUUACUAAACACUCUGCUGCUUUAUUUCACAGCUGGUUAUUCUCACAACACAGCAUAAGAAGCUUUUUUUUCAAAGCACAUCAAUAUCAAACUAGCGCUAAAUUUCGAUCAUCAAAUUUGUUCAUCAAACAAUGUGUUAGUAUUGUAACCCGAAUAAAAUUGUACUUAUUUUUAUCAAGUAAACUAUAAUAAACACAGCAAGCACAAACGAAAACUGACCCCUUCAAUCUCCUAGUUUUAAUCUUCUGAAAAUAAAAUAUUGAGGAUGUGUAAUUUGUAAAUGCUGAAUUGGACAAAUGGUGGUUUUGACCAAGACGGUUGUGAUCCUCCUCCUUCCCUAGUUUAUAAUCCCUCUUUAGAUGUUAUCGGCACUUCACUAUUAUAAUACCAUAUCUAAUAAGUAAAUUUAAUAAUUCUAAUUGACCAAGGACUUGCUUAGUUUGCUUAAUUUGUAACUAAUCUGUUGAAUCUAUGCUAGGAAAACGUAUCAGUGCAUAUUCCAAUUAGAAGGUUUAAUACAAAUUUAUGAGUAUAAGUAGGAUAAAGAGAGUAGUAGCUUCGGGGAAAAGGUGGAGGUCUCUCCCAUACCUAGAAAGCCUAGAAUCCUUUUUUCUAUUUGUUGGUGCCAUCUCAUUCGGAUUGUGACUAAUAACAGAUUUGUUGUUUAGCCCACAAACGAUAACAAGAGGAUACAAAUAAUCAAAUUAAUUAAUACGCAGGCCGCAAAGGGAUUGGGACUUGGACAUGUACUUCAAUUUGAAUAAUAAGGCCACAAGGUAUUGGUGAAUUUUCGUCACAUUUCGAGAGGUGGAUUAGCCUGAAAAGUCACACCCCACCAGUAGAGAAAAAGGCACAUGUUCUUGUUUGUGGGUCAGUUUCUACGUAUUUUAAAAGGAAAACUAAUAAAAAUGAUUUAAAAACUUUGAGUUUUAACGACAAAAUAAAAGGUAAAGUGAUUUUUCGUUAAAGUGAACAGUACCUUGAACUUUUUGUUCCCUAUUUUAAAAGGUAAAAGUAGGUAUGAAAAACACAUAUAAAAAACAUACAUCAGGAUCUAAUUAACAAAGUGCACAACUUCUUUCCUAGGGACCUUGAUCUAGCUAUCUUCUAAAUCUUCUUAGCUAGAGUAUUAGGUUGAUCUUCGGUUGUGCAAAAUAUUGAUUAACAUACAUCUUUAAAGUUUAGGCUGGGGUUUAUUGUAUUCAAAUGGUUUUUUCAUAUUUUCUUUGAGCGUUAUAUGUGAAAGCGAAUAAAAUAUGAAAGAUUUCGUGAAGCAAUAUAUCAUUCUUUGUAAUAAUCCUGUAUCACGUGGUACAAAAUUUUUCCAACAUCAAUUUUACAAUUAAAUGGGGGAAGACCUUAAAACGCGCCUGCAAUGUAUCAUUAAAAUGCCUUUGAGAGCAAAAUCACAAAUGUUCACACAUGAAUUAGACCACAGUCAAAGAGUCCAAACUAACAAGCAAGAUAUAUCACAAAACCACAGCCACACACGUGUUAACACGAAAGUAGUAAUUAAAUUGAAAUUUACAGCGAGACGGACCACAUAUAAAGUUACAAACCUGGAAAUUCCAGGAUAUCAAAUUUGAGUCCAUGUCAUCCUUUCGUCAUGCCAUUCAAAAGCUUGGGCAACAAGUCUUCAAUUGUACAUAUCAAAAUGACUAGCCAAUUUCAUACAAGAGAAAAACAAAUCUAUAACAACGAGAAAAUACUUGCAUCCGAGAGGGAAUUUCACCAUUUGCAAUAACGUAUCUUAAACGCAUAAAUUUUAUAAUCAAAACCGUUUAAUUGCUUAAUCUUCAUUUGAAACUCAUUCUUACAAAAAUCAUUCAAAACGGAGAUCGUUUAGACAUCCAUAUGUAUGGAACAAAAACACAUAAUAAAUUAAGUGUUUAUGCAUUGAAUUAAAAUUAACCAGAGAUCAACAUAUAACAUUAAAAAGCCAAGUACACAUCAUAAAUCAAGUGCUUCUGCAAAGAGUAAGGUGCUGAAUGAUAAUUAUACAAGCGGGUUUGUUGGGGGUAAUGGAUAUGGGGUGAAUUCUAUCUUCUGUCUUGGUGUUUAAUUUGGUGGUGUUUCAUGUGUUGUGAUGAGAAGUGAGAGAGAAGAUAGCUAUACAUUUUAUUAGGGUUUGUGGAGAUUAAUUGGGAGGCCACACGCUCACAGCAGAGGAGCCAAAGUGCUUUAGUACAAAACGAUCAAACAUCAUGCGUUUCACGGAUUUUCUCUUGGCGGGAAACACACUUCCAGCUUUUGGCUUGAAGCAUGAGCAGUUUGUCUCCCUCGGAACCAUGAUCUUCAUCAUCUCCUUUUCUGUUGAGUUCAGCUUCAUCUUCAUAGCUUUCUCUGCUUCUUUCCCGUCAUUCACAUCUGGAUUCUUCUGCUGCUUCAGCCCCUUUUCUGCAGCUCCUCCAAUAUUUUCCCUCACUGCCAUCUCUCUCUCUCGCUCUCUCUCCUGUGUGUGUGUGUGUGUGAUGUUUUUGUGUUUGUUGGUCGCCUCGCUUUCUAUAUGUGGGGUAUAAAUAACGAAAAAGAACACGAUGACCAGGAUAUGAAAGAACAGCAAACAAUUCAAAGAUGUUGAGACCGAAAAAAGGUUUUGGUGACCCACUUGCUUUAAUCUUUUGACAGUUAGCGCGUUACCACUUGUGCCAUUUUAGUUUUGGAAAUAUUCAUUAGUAUAUAUUCAAAUCUAAAUAAGAACAAAAGGAAUUAGUGGUUGAAAUGGUACCAUAAAUAUGGUCUAACUUGUAGCAUGUAUAUGUACUUUUUUCUCAAACUCAAUCACUUGAUUCCUUGUGUUCUUAUUCACCAUAGACAUGCUCAGCUUUUUAUAGAAACUUUGCCAAGACAUAUUGAUACAGAUUGGUCAUGUCUAACUAACUUGUAUUUUACUAAAAAAAAAACCUAUACUUUGAUUCUUAAAAUCCUACUAGCAAAAUAUUUGUUAAACGAAGGUAAAAUGGUAAACCAAGAUGAUAAAGUUGUAAACACAAAACAUUAAUGUUUUACUCGCUCAGAGUUCUAAGCAGCUGUCAAUCUUAAAUAUAAAUAUAUGUGCAUGAACUUGAGGCAAGACACUAGGUGAAGUUUGAAAAACGUGAAAAUAGGAUUAAAAAAAAAUAGAAAGUAUGAAGUAAAAGUAGGAACAACUUGAAAGAUGAAUGGUCCCCGAUCACUAUUCUUAUUACACAUGAUAAUUUUGCAAGUUGGUUUUUAAGAUUAUUAUAAACAGUCAUCGAGUUAGAUGAGAAAUUUGGAAAAGUAACCAUACUUUAGAUCCCAUAUAGAAUUAUAGCCAUCAUUUUAGUUUUAUGAUAAUUCUAACCAAAACUUAAUGUAAAAAUACUAAUAUACCCUUAAUGAAAAAAUUCCCCAUUGCUCUUAACCAUGAAAAAACAACAAUUAGUUGAGAUCUUGAAACAUAAAAGAGGUAGCCUCUUGAAUACUACCCAGUACCCCUAAUCUAGAACCCCUCCAUUUCUUACACUUAUUAUUUUUUUCAAUAUAUAUAUGUAUAUAGAUAUAGAGUAGAUAUAGAUAUUUAAAUGUAAUCAGAUAACGUGAAAAUUGAAGAUAACCCAGUAAACUAAACAUAAAAAUUAAUCAGGAAUUGAAUCAUUAAAGUUGUUGAUUUGCUGAAGGAUUCAUAAUAUAUUCACCUGCAUUGGAACAUGAAAAUCAUUAAAGUUUUGACUAAAAAUGUCACAUCCCCGCCCGAGUCCACCACAUUCCAAGCUCGACUCAACCGUAGCACGAUAUUGUUCGUUUUAGGCCCUGACCGUGUCAUCACUGUUUUGUUUUUGUGAACUCACGAGCAACUUCCUAGUGGGUCACACCCAUCCUAGGAGUGCUCUGGCCCCAUUUUUGCUUAACUUCAGAGUUCCUACGGAACCCGAAGCCAGUGAGCUCCCAAAAGGCCUCGUGCUAGGUAAAUAUGUGAAUAUACAUUUAAGGAUCACUCCCCUAGGCAAUGUUGGAUGUUACAAUCCACCCCCUUAGGGGCCCGACAUCCUCGUCGACAUACUUCCAGCCAUCUAUUGGCUCUGAUAUUGUCACAUCCCGGCCCGGGGCGGACCACUUCCCGGGCCCGCUCCACCACCGUAGCACGAUAUUGUCCGCUUUGGGCUUACCAUUCCCUCAUGAUUUUAUUUUUGGGAACUCACGAGCAACUUCCCAGUGGGUCACCCAUUCUAAGAGUGCUAUGGCCCCCUUCUCGCUUAACUUCGGAGUUCAUACGAAACCCGAAGCUAGUGAGCUCCCAAAAGACCUCGUGCUAAGUAGGGAUGUGAAUAUACAUUUAAGAAUCACUCCUCUGGGCGAUGUGGGAUGUUACAAAAAACCAUGAUAUGAAAUAUCAAAAAGUUGAUUUAGGAAAUGGAAGCUACAAUUGACCAAUCAUACCAUUGUUUCUUGGACAAUUUGAAAAGGCUGAUGCAUCCUACUGCGUUUUAUUUUUUUUGUCAGAACAUCCCUACUGCUUAAUUAUGCAAAAUCGGCAAAGAGUGCUCUUCUAGUUUAAGGUGAGAAACCAAAGGUUGCGAGAGAGUUUGAAGGAGGUUUUGUUUUUGUUGUGAGAAACCCUAAUAUUAAGGGUAUAUUAGUAUUUUACAUAAAGUUUUGGUUAGAAUUAUCAUAAAACUAAAAUAAUGGCUAUAAUUCUAUAUAAGGUCUAAACAAGGUUUUAAAAAACGCUAUGCGCUAGUCGGGCGGUGGACAGGGGCCUAGCGCCUAGGCGGAUUUAUGUAAAUUUAUUAUAUAUCUUGUAAAUAAGUGUCUAUUUACACCUAAAAACAAACUAUACUUCUAUGGAUACUAACAUAAUCAUAAAAUGCAAAAAUAAAAGUAAAAAAAUACACAAAGUAUAUACAUCCAAAAUAACAGAACCCAAAAAGACCUUGUAUAUUUAGUUAUUUACAAAGAAAACCCUAACCUAAAGAUGAUAAAAGAUUUGACAAACUCCUAGAUAUUUUGUUUAAUUUAUUAUAUAUUCUCAAUCUAUUAUUUAUUAAAAAGUAAUUUCUUUCCAAAAAAAAAAUAAUAAUAAUUUCCUUUAUUAAUUGAAUCAUUUCUGAUUCUGACACCCAAACCCAUUAACACCCAUUUACUUUUCUUUAUGCGUCAAUUCAAAAGUCCCAUGCCUUCUCUUCACUUCUCCCUACCCAAAUCCAUUUACUCUCAUCUCCUUUUUCUUUAAGCCGUCAAUUCCAAAGUCUCCAAUCUCCAUCCCCUCUCUUCGCUUCUCCCUAGUUUAAGCAAGCCUUGCCCAGUUACCCUCUCCCUGCAGUGUCGUCCUGUCAUCGACCAAACAAGCCUUCAUCUUCAUCAAAACGCAAAUCCCGACCAACCCAACUCAAAAAUCAAUUGAAUUGUGUAGGUCAGUGUAGUGGUGAUCCCCGAUGUCGAUGGUUUCAAGAAGUUCCAGACAACUCUCUCUCUUUUCUUUCAACAACAAAAUUGCAGAUCCCUCUCUCCUUCCUCAACAGAUCACUCUAUUGUCGUCAGUACAAAGAGUUUUUUUUUUUUUUUUAACAAAACAAAGAGGCCGCCUAGAACGCGUUGCCUGCCCAACGACCACGUUGCCCGCCCAGCGACUGCCUAGAUACUGAUUUAUAGCCCUUCCGAUUUGUUGAACGAUUUCAUAAUAAUUGCGGCGGAGGCCCGCCGUCCACUGCUUAGGCGGCCGCCUAGCCUGCGUUUUAGAACAUUGGGUCUAAAAUAUGGCUACUUUAACAAAUUUCCCAAGUUAGAUUGAAUAUUGACAUUCUAUACCGUCACUUUAUUUAUAAAAUAUCUUUAAUUGAUAGAAAAUAAUAGAUUUGGAAACAUCAACAAUAUAUAAUCAAAGGUUUAAGAAUCUUAUUGAUGACUAGGUUGAAUUGAAUUAAAAACGUUCUUUUGACCAAAAGAGGGAACUGAAGAAGCUUCCUUGAAACUUCUUUACGAACAUAAAGGAAAUGAUAUUUCCAUAUGUAGAUGAAUAGCAUUAUCAAAAUAAAUUAAAAACUUCCAACUUACCUGAGCGCAGUGACACCCAACUUGGAUGAGCAGUUGAGCAGUGAGCUUGAGAAAUGACAAGGAAAUUAUCUCGCAUUGUUCGGUUUGUGCCACUUUACAAGUCAUCGCCUCAUUGGAUUUGGAGGUCGUCUUCUUCAUCUUCUUCUCACUUACUUCUUGCGAACGGAUAGUAUUAUUUAAAUGAAAUUUGCAUGUACCUGAAACUUCAUCGAAGGUAUGUCGAUCGAUAUUUGCGUCAGGAGGGAUAUUCCCAAAUGCUAAUGAAAAAUACUACAGAUAGCAUGCAUGUAGAGGAAAGAGUGGAUUUCAAGAUGAACGAACCAGACCUAGCUAGUAGGGCUGGGUUCGGUUCUUUUCGGUUCGGUUUUUUGCCAAAACCGAAACCAAACCGAAAUUUCGGUUCGGCCCAUAUUUUUUUCGGUUUUUUUCGGUUCGGUUUCGGUUUUUUUUCGGUUUUUUUUUUUUUUUUUCCUCCAAAAAAUGAAAAUUUAGAUGUUAUCCAUAAGAGAUUUACAACCCACCAACUGAACAAAACCCACAUAAAUGUUUCAAAGAAUUAGACUUUCUAAGACCCUUUUGGAGCAACAAAGUAAAAACCCAGAAAACUUUACCUUGCAAAUCCAACAACCAGAGAAAUGAAACCAGGUGGGCCUGCAAAUUUUCCCGAGAAACAAACAGAAAAAAACAGGUCCAGUAACCUAAACAAACAUCUGAGACAAGUGAUAUGAUUCAGUACUUCUAAACUCCACCUUCUGUUAUGAACUUAUGUUUGCAUACUGCUGUACUUUUUGGCAUUGGGUUGUAAAGAACAAUUAACAGCUACUUCAUUGCUUCAUCCAGCAUCCCGAAAAAUGUAAAUGCUUCAUCCAUAAUUUAAUCACCAGUGCAGACAUGGCGAGACAUGGCGAGAGUGCAGAACAAGCAAGCAUCACAGUGCAGACAUGGCGAGAGUGCAGAACAAGCAAGCAUCACAGUGCAGAACCAAAUUUUUUUUUUUUUCUCAAAUCGAAGAUCAGAUUAAACGCCAAAUCCAUUAAAGCAUAAUCAAAACUAAAGUGCUUAACUUGACAGUCGCUAAUUUCAUUUCAAUAACAAAAACACGAACCCAAAUGAAAUCGAUCGAAAUCAAUCGACGUUUUGCAUGAUAUCCUCUGCGGUGAACUUGGUGCC
rnacentral:lncRNA from 1 species